rnacentral:lncRNA from 1 species
UCAUUCACCCCCAUGUACGACACUGUACUACCAACCUUCUCUAGAUUUAUGAUAGCCUUGAAGCUGUUGAUGUAUCUCACUGGUAGGGGUCCAGAAAAAUAAUUACUUGAGAGGUCAAAAAUUUGGAUUUUAGAGAAAAAAGGGCUAGACUUGGAGUUAUUGACACACAAGGAACUAUGCAUUUGAUUUGACUUUAGUACAAGAACUUGUAGCUGUAGAAGACUUCCCAACCAAUGCGGAAAUGUAUCAUUGAUCUUGUUGUUACCAAGAUCUAGCACUUCCAGACCUUUACAUUUAAGGAUGGAUGGUGUCAAAGGCCCUUCUAACAGAUUUCUAUUUAAGUUGAAAUUACUCAAUUGGCAUCCCUUUGCAAAUGUUGGAGGAAUCGUCCCAUAAAACUUGUUCUUCUUCAGAUUCAAGAAUUGAAGGCUGUCGCUCAAACUUCCAAAACAUUGCGGAAUUGUUCCACUCAAGUUAUUGUGGGACAAAUCAAGAAUUUGAAGAGAAGUGACAUUGCAGAUUAAAGAAGAGACCUCUCCAUUGAAACUAUUAUUUGAGAUCAGAAACACUUUGAUCGUCGAAGCUGGAAUCGGAAGAUUUCCACGGAUCAAAUUGGAGCUUAAGUCAAGAAUUGCAAUAUUCUUCCAUGGAAAUCGCUCAACUUCUGUCAAAGAGUUAUGUGAUACAUUUAAGUAACUCAAAGAGUCAUUCCCCACCUCUUGCAUCCACUGUGGAAUCUUGCCUUCAAUUCCGUUGUAAGAGAGGUCUAAACUUUCCAAACUUCUAAGCCCUUUUAAAAAUUGGGGGAACUCACUAAGAUUGCAAGAUGACAAAAAUAAGCUUGUAAGAUUAGCAGUAGAAGUAGUACUAGAUGUUAAGGAUAGGCUGUUAUAUGAAAGGCCGAGAUGUUUGAGAUUUGGAAGGUUUGAGAACAUGCUAAACUCUAUGACACCACUAAGAUCAUUUGAGGAUAAGCUGAGGUAGGUAAGAUUGAGAAGUUGGAAUAUUGAAGACGGAAGAGGACCUUGGAGUUUAUUAUUUUUUAGAUAUAAAUAUUCUAAGGAGGGAGCAGUAUACAACCAUGACGGGAGUGUUCCAUUGAGUAAAUUGUUAGAUAAGUAUAAAUAUUUUAGAUUAGGAAAAGCGGUUACCUCAUCUGGAAUGGAACCUUCUAAUAAAUUUUCUGUUAUAUCCAAGAAUUCAAGCUGGGUUAGGUUUAGAAUUGACAAUGAAAUUUGUCCACUCAAUUGGUUCUGCGACAAGUCUAAAUGAGUGAGUUGCAAGAGGUUCCCCAAUGAUCUUGGAAUUGGUCCACUCAAUUGGUUCUGCGACAAGUCUAAAUUAGUGAGUUGCGAGAGUUUCCCCAAUGAUCUUGGAAUUUGUCCACUCAAUUGGUUCUGUGACAAGUCUAAAUGAGUGAGUUGCAAGGAGUUCCCCAAUGAUCUUGGAAUUUGUCCACUCAAUUGGUUCUGCGACAAGUCCAAAUGAGUGAGUUGCAAAAGGUUCCCCAAUGAUCUUGGAAUUUGUUCACUCAAUUGGUUCUGUGACAAGUCUAAAUGAGUGAGUUGCAAGAGGUUUCCCAGUGAUCUUGGAACCGGCCCUAAUAAGUUGGAAUAGUAUAGAACUAAAAACUUCAAGGACACAAGAUUCCCCAUCGAGUCAGGCAAUCCUCCAAAAAUAUCUGCGCCACUAAUAACCAAGUACUCCAAAGAUGAUAAAUUUGUGAUUGAGACAGACAUUCCUUGAAAGAAAGAAUUUCCUGAUAGAUCUAAGUACUUUAAGGCCCGUAGAUUAUUAACUGAAUCAAUGAAUUCUGUAGAGAAGGACAUGGACGACAGAUCCAAAUGUUCAAGAUUGCUGCUCCGAUUGAACUUCAAAGGAGCAAGAUUGAGGUUUGGCAAAUCAAAAAUGUUUUUUGGGAAUUUUCCUUGCAAAUCACAAUCAGCUAGACUGAGAGACCUUAGAGAAGAGGAUAGAUUCAUGAAAACAUAAGCAUUAACAGAAGACAUGUUGAUUCCAUGCAAAAACAGAUGUCUGACCUCGGUUAGGUUGUGAAUAAGUCCCUCCACAGCAUGUUUGUCAAUUGUAAAUUGCUCAUAGUCAUAAAUCCAACAGGAGAGAUCAAGUGAAACCAAUUUUGACAUGUGGGAGACUUGGGAUGGGACCUCUCCUACAAAUCUGGUAUGAGAAAGGUUGAGAUAUACUAGACUUUCAAACCGACCAAACUCAGAUGGAAUUUUGGAAAGAUUAAAAUCAUUGUAGGCAAGGUUGAGUUUUUGAAGGUGAGGAAGAAGGAAAAGAGUGCUAUUGGAAGGGAAGUUGCCAUAUAGCCAACUGCAGCUCAAGUCAAGGGCAAUAACAUGAGCAUUUAGGUGGUCACAAGUGACCCCAUCCCAUGAGCAGCAAUCUGUACCCUCUUUCCAUGAAUUUGUCUUGGGAUAAGAUUUAAGGCCUGUAAUAUGAUCGCAAGACAAAGAAGCAUCCUUUGUUAUGGAAAAAGAGUUCUUGAACUGGAUUAGUGAAGAGCAGGAGUACUGAGAUCCUGAAGAAGCAUAAAGAUGGGGAAAGAAAAGGAGUAGGCAGAGAAAGAGAUUGAAGGCCAUGUUAUGUUUGUAGAGGAAGAUAAAGGAUAGGAGUGGUAUUUAUAGGCGACAAAAAAAGGGUUACAGUCUUUUUUUAUUUGACAUUGAAAAGCUAUGGAUAUUAGAUUUUUAAAAUUUUUGUAUUUGUCCCAAUCAUCAACAACCACUUCCUUUUUACCAUAUAUUUUUCAUUCUUAAAAUUGGCUGCUUUUUUUAGUAAAAUCAUGUAUUUCAUUUGAACUCCCUAAACAACUAAAAAAUUAAGAUUGAUGAGAUUACAAAAUAGAUUGACUUAGUCUUUUUCCUUAUAACAUGUAAAUAAUGUGAGUGUCUAUUCACUUGCUUGUCAACCAAAGCUAAUUAAUAUGGAAAUUUUUUUGUACACAAAAGAAUAAAAUUGUGCUCUAUUCACUACGUUUAGGGAAGAAGACUGUUGGAAAUUUAAUACACCGAUUUCAUAAAAAAGUGUUUACUUAUAUCUAUAUAUAUAUAUAACCUCAUAAUUCAAAUCUAAAAUCUAAUUUGUUAUAAAUUCUAAUAAAUUUAUUUGGGGCUAGUUAUUUUUUAAUCAAGUAAAAAAUUAAAAUCGAAAACCUCAUUAUUUGUUGACGUGUUUACUUUUAUAUAUAUAUAUAUAUAUAUUUCUCUUUUAAAAAAUUAAAACUAAAAAUAUAUAAUGAUUUAUUUGGCAUUUUUUAACUUUACAAACAAAAAGUCAUUUUAGUUUUUCCCUUUUUUUUUUGUGUGUCUCUUUUAGCCUUGAAACUUGUAUAGUUUGUUAAAUCACCUAAAAAAAUGAUGAAAAAGUUAACAUCUGUAUACUAACAAAACUAGCACUUACGUGGCUGAUGUUGACUGUUAGUAGUUAAUGGCAACACCUAAGUGGCUAUUAACAGAUACCACACCAUUGUUUGUUGACGUGACGAUGCCACAUUAUUAAUAAUCGCUGACAUGGUAGUGCCACGCCAUCGCCCAUCGGUGACAUAUUAACCUUUGAGUUCAAUUCAAAUUUCUCUUUCCUUUGUUAUAAAUUAAGAAUAUAACUAAUUUUGAUGGGAAUGGUAACUUAUCAUUAACUCGGUUUAAAAGACUAUAACAGGUAAAGUUUAGUCCUAUUACUGUCCGUGCCACAUUAAUGUGAGACAUUUACAUUACGCAGAAUUCAAAGCAUAUAUGGAAAUUUUGCAGUAUUGACUAUUGAAUAUGCUCUACUCCACAAAAAAGACUAAGACUGUCAGUUGUCUAUUGACUUCACUUGAUGUUACUUCCUAUCACUCUCACCCAAACUUAAUUUACAAGGAACGUGGAGAUUUCAAACAUUUGCAGCACAAAAUACAAUAAUUCAACACAAUUUGCAGUAUUGACUAAAAGCCAUUAAACAUUCAUUAUUGAUUGCAAUUAUAAUUAUAACAUCAUUAAAAGAAACAUAUUAUUUUAAUUUAUUGCUUAAAAAUUCAAAGCGAACGUGGAAAUAUUUCAUGGGUUGGCACUAAAUGUGUGUCAUUUUCUAUUAAUUGCAAGAAAACUACUCGGGAAACUGCAUUUUUAUGGAAAAUUUUUUACUAUAAUGACUUAUUUUGUCCUCUAACUUUAUUUAAGAGAUUAUUUUAGUCCUCUAUUUAAUUUCGAAUAGUUGCAGAACAAAGUCCAAUAACUCCAUACAAAAUAACAACAAUUUGCAAUAUCGACUACGUUUACUCGAGAGGUAGAUAGAUGUGCAGAGGGAAAAAAAAAGACAUGGUUGCUGGAAAUUCUACCUUGUUUGUACAGUCGACUAAAGGCCAUUAAGGACAUCAAUUCCUCUAAUUAGAUAAUACCAAAUGGGAGACCAAUUAGGUUUACUCUUUAAACUUUUAGUCUCAUAACACCAUCAUUGAUUAGUGUCAAAAGUAACAUAUUUUAACCUCAUUCUUAGUACAUUGUUAAGUGAUUAUGUGACAUUAAUUGUGAAUUAUAUGCUUCUAAUCCUUUAUAAGAAUGGAAGCAAGAAGCUACAAGAGGAGAGCACAAAAUUACUUUGAGAACACCAUUGAAGCCUAUUUCCAAGUAAUUUUUCAUCAAGAUUUAAGAGUCUAAGUUGAUUUUAAAGAGAGUUAUCAUGGAUUUUUUUUUUAUUGUAGUGGUUAUAUUGUAUUUUUUUUGUGUUUACUCUUACCAUUAUGAACUGAUUCUCUUAAUACUUAGGGGAGAUGAACCUUAGAAUGAAUUCUAUUAUUUGAUUUAUAUUUUUAUGCAAUAAAAUCUUAGUCUCUUUGUUUUCAAUUAUGAAUGUUCUGUUAUUCUUGGGUUAAUAAUUCUAGAGUGUUAAUUCAUGUUUGAUGAGCAUAAGUCUGGGGUUGAAUAAACCCUUCUUGUGAUUAGAUCUUGCAUAAUUGAAUUGAGUUGCAUGCAAUUCUAUAAAUAAAACGACAUAAAUCUAUCAGAUUAAAGUCAAAUCUAAUUAGUGUAAUUGGAAAGUCAAAUGAUGUAUAUCACAAACGAGAAAUUCUAAUUAGUGUAAUUGGUAUUAUCAAAUGAUGACUUCAAAUGUUGAUCAUCCUCGACCACAAACUAUCUAAGUUUGCAGUGUGAAAGCAGCUACUUCCAUUACAGAAACCUUUCACUGUAUAUUGACUUGGUCUUAUUUCCUAUAACACCUCAUGUUUGGUCAUAGAUGGUGGAAGAUAGUAGAGACUCGAUACAACACACCAUUUGCACCUGCAAUUAAGCUUCUUUAAAAGGAAAUGGGAUCCACCAAUUUUACCUAAACUCACAUCAACAUUGUUAUGGGGCUUUUCAUUUCGUGAAGCACCUAAUAUUUGUCUCAACGUGUUUACUGGUUCCUCAAUUUCACAUCAAUGCAUUCAAUUUCAAAAUAGAUUAAGUUGUUUGGUUCAAAUACCAAGACUGCCAACAUCUAUUGACUUCACUUGGUCCGGCUUCCUCUCACUGUCAACCAAACUUAAUCGAGAAGUACUAAGGAAAUUUCAGUCAUUUGCAGCGUAAUGUACAGGAACUCCACGCCCACAAAAUAAUUUAUAAUAUUUUGGAUGGAUGUUGCGUUUACUUACGACUAGUGUAAAAAUAAUGGUAGCGGUGAGAUUAGGUAUUGUAGCAUGAGACCAAAAGUAAAUUAAACACACCACACCGCACUCAAUCGCCUAUCCGAAUUCACCCUAAGUUUGAUGUGCUGAGAAAAAAAAAGCAUGAAUGAUGAAGAAUUAAAGCCAAUACUUGGUAAGUACCCUAAUUAGUUUACAAGUAAAUAUUCUUGUACUAAUUAUUCAGGCAAACCUUAGCCAAUAAUAAAAAAUAUAUAAUGAUCUAUUAGGUCCUCCAACUUUAUAAAAAAGAAUCAUUUUAACUCAGGGGCAUAAUUAGGGGUUGACAAGGGCCUGCCUGAAAUUACAAUUUGGCCCUCCCUAAAAUUGAUAAAAAUUUGAUUUAAUUAUUUAAAAAAUAUAAAGAUAUAGAGUAUUAAAAUGGUAAAAUUGCAUUUUUACUGUCAUAAAUAUUUAUAAUUUAAUUUCGGCCCCCUAAAAAAUUUUCUGGCUUCUCCCAUGUUUUAGCCCUUCAUUUAAUUUUUCAUCUUUUUUAGCCCUUUAAUUUGUAUUAUUUGACAAUUCACCUCAAAAAAGAUAGAAAAGUUAAUAUUUAUUAACUUUGUUGACGUGACAUCCACAUGACAGUACAUGUGUAUGUAACGUCAACAAUCAAUUAAUUUUUUAAAACUUAAAAAUAUUUUUUAAUAAUUUUUGAAUUUUAAAAAUUAAUUAAUUAUUAAUGUGGCAUUCAUAUGACAAUCCACAAAAAUUAAUUAAUAAUUGAAAGUUGCGUUACAUUAAAAUUAGUUUGUUAGAAUGGAAUUCUAAUAAAUUUAUUUGGGAAUGAUUACUUUUCGUUAAAGUGGAGUCAAUAUUACUUGGUUAACUAUUUCUCUUUUAGCCAACUACAAAAUUCAAGUCCAUUACAAAAUUGUAGAGGGACUAAAUCCCUAAAAAUAAAAUGUAUAGAGAUUAAACUUUAAAUUUACAAAGAGUACAAGAAAUUUGAAUAUAUUACAACUAUUAAAUUUUCCCUCUAUAAUUUAGUUAAAAAUAAAUAAAUAAUUCCCUCAACGCCAAACGUGGAUAAUAAACAUACUAGUUUAAUGUAUAUAUUUGGUACACUUUUUUUUUAGUAAGAGCAUAUCACCACCAUGUCAGCAAUUUUAAGAUGAUGUGGUAGUGCCACAUAUUACUAUUUCUCUUUUGGCUAACUAGAAAAUUAAAAUAGAAAAAAAGAUGAUCUCAUUUCGAAAGACUAUAAGACGUAAAAGUUUGGUCCAACACUGUUAGCGUCUAUUGACUUCAACUGCUUUUACUGUUUGUGUCAACCAAAUUAGAUAACCUGCAAGCAGUGUAGGACAUCUGCAUAAUGCAAAAUUUUACACAAAUAAUAUGAAAUUUUUGCAAUAUUUGACUGUAUACAUUUACUCGAGAAAACUGCGAUUAGGUGAGAAAUUUUCACAUUCAUGCAUUGAAGUUCGAGAUACCUUUAGAAUUUAUUGAAAAAUGGUAAUUUUUAGAAAAUUUGAGGCAUAUUUGUGAUUGGUAAAUGUGGAGAGUUGAAUCAUAAAAUUAUGAGACCUUUAUAAUGGUAAUCUUCUUGUGAAUUGUGUUGAGAAAAAUGAGAAGCAUUAGUCUCAUGCUGGUUGAGAAUUAAGUGUGGGACUUAUAUAUAUAUAUAUAUGUAUGUAAAUCAACUUAGUAGCUAUUUAAUGACUAAAGCUUGAAACUCUGUCUCAUGCGCAAUUGGGGUGCAAAUCUAAACCCAUCGGGGUUGGGGCAUACCCGCACGACAUGGGUGACGCGAAAUGUCCGGACCAAUAGGGCCCAAGAAUGGCAUGCAGAUAUUUUAGCCCAAUACAAAAGAUAUUAUACAGAAUUUGUUUAAAAGGACAAAUAUAUCAAUUUGAUUUUAUUUGAUUCAAAUUGAUUUAAAGGCUCCUCAAAUUUUAUUCAAAUUUAUCUCAGGAUACACAACGAAUUUUCAAACAUUUCGGUGAUAGAAUAAGGCAAUGUUUGUUCGUUGAUCACUACAUAGGUACUACUGCUGCGAUUAUUUUGUUGUUGUAUCCUGAGAGACAGAUGACUAACGCUUCUCCAAUUGUCAUAAGAACGACCAAAUCUAUCUUAAGAAAACUAUGAAAGCAGGUCUCAACAUCUAAUAAAACUCAAUUCCCUUAUUUUAUUUUUGAUUUUUUAAAAUCUUGUUUAUUUAAUUAUUUUUAGAUCUAAUGUUUUAAAUAAAUAUUUAUUUAAUUUGUUUUAUUUAGAUCUAGUAUUUUUACAUAAAUAUAAAUAUUUGUUUAUAUUAUUUGUUCAGAUCGUGCAUUUAAUAUUUAUAUUUAUUCGGUAACGUAUUUUCUCCAACAAAUUUAUCUUUAUAGUGGAUCCACUUUUUGAAUUAUAUUAACACUGCAAAUUAUUCUGAUGAAUCUUAUUGAAAAUUGUUCUUUUGAUGAAAUUGUGGGUCAAUGUUGUUUCGUAAUUUCUCUUUUAACCCAUAUAUAUAUAUAUAUAUAUAUAUAUAUAUAUAUAUCUAUGCAAUGCUAUUGUAUAUAUUAUUGUUACUCAAAUAUGAUGAUAGAUCUAUCGGUUUGGGACAUCCUAUUAUUUUACCUAGAAAUUUUUAAAUUAAAAAAAAAAUAGUUACAUGGAUGGAUUGAAGUUAAAAAUGAGUGACAUCCUCAAUUAAUAUCAAGACUAGAGCAUAAAAAUUAAAAGAUUAUAUCGUCCCUAAGUGUGUAUAAAUUAAUAACACUUUAAAAAUUUUGAGCAAAUACCAGGCCCAAACUGUUAACCUAUUACCUAAACUGUAACAUCUUGAUUUUGUGUCUAGUAGGAACAGUAGUCGAGAGACCACAAAUCCGACAUCAAAAUAUUUUUUUAUUAUUUUUAUGUCUAUAGUAUGAUACUAAAGUUGUGUGAAAUUUUCAUAAAGAAAUUUCUUCGUUUGAGUACUCAAUUUGAUAAAAAGAACUAAAUCGCGUAAGGUGCAAAACUUGAGGUCUAAUUGAUAAAGGCACUAAAUAGUUAUAGAAUUGAAAAGUAUGGGCACUUGCAUGGAAAUUAUACCAAUAAAAAAGUGAGGAGACAAAGAUGGACAUGUAGUAGAUGGAUUUGGUGAAGUUACUAAAAGUUAAAUUGGUAAAUAAGUUAAUAGGAUAAUAAGACAAAAUAGCAAAAGCUAUCAUCUUUAUUUUUCUUCUUCUUCAACCGUAAUAGAAAAAAAUGGAGGGUUUCAUUUGGCCAAGCUUUGGAGCUUAUGUGAGUGGUUUUUGCCCCGUUUUUAAUGAUUUCUAUGUUUUUGGAGUUGUGGUAACUCGAUUUAGCUAUCUCGUACCUUCAUUUUCAAAACUGUUAAAGUUUGUAAAUUUUGCCAUGGUUGAUAAAGUGUGUAUUUUGAUAAUUGAUGAUAGAAAAUACAUCCUUGUUGUUAGAUAAACAACAUUUGUAAAGACCACAGGCAGUGGAAACAACAAGAAGGCCAUAGCCAACCAACAAAACACGAGAACGACCCAGAUGCUAAAAAAAAAAAACACAUGAAUUCCAACAAUUGCAUAACCCCAAUUUCAACACCAAUUAGUUUUACUCAACUCUAAUCUGUAAUUACACUCAUUGUUGAAAUACCAUUACAAUAGAUAAAGACAUAUAACUAAAUUGGUCGAGGCAAAACAUUACACACACUUAAAAAUUAGAUAUAUGCUUGAACAUGGUGAAAAUUCCAAUAACCUUUGGAAUCUCUCAUUCAAACUUAAUAUUUGAGAGAUCAAUGAUGGUCCACAUGGUGAAAAUUUUCAUGAAUUCCCUAUCUUAUAUAUCCUUUAAUAACAAUUCCAAUUGUUGAGAUUUAUGAUAGCCCUAAAAUUGUUGAUGCAUCUCACUGGUAGUGGUCCAGUAAAAUAAUUACUUCGAAAGUUUGGUCCAAGACUGUUAGCGUCUAUUGACUUCAACUGCUCUUGCUUCCUCUUACUGUUAGUUUUCAACCUAAGAAUCUACAAGCAACCAUGCAGAAUUCCACACAAAUAAUAUGAAAAUUUUGCAGUAUUGACUAUAUACAUUUACUCGAGAAAAGCUGAGAUUAUAGGCUUGGAGAUCCUAAUUUUUACUAUUUAAAAUAUUUGUUACCUGAUCUAUUUAAAAACAAAAAUUCUUUUUCAUAUCACUGUGAAAUUUGUGAAUUGGCUAAACAACACCGGUCAUUCUUCCCACCUCAAAAAUAUAAAGCUUCCAAACCUUUUUCGUUAAUUCAUAGUGAUGUUUACGGACCUUCAAGAGUCUCAAUUUUUUUAGGAAAACGUUGGUUUGUCACAUUUAUUGAUGAUCAUACUCGCAUUUGUUGGGUGUUUCAAGAGUCUCAACUUUUUCAAGAAAACGUUGGUUUGUCACAUUUAUUGAUGAUCAUACUCGCAUUUGUUGGGCGUUUUUAUUAAAAGAUAAGUCUGAAGUUAAAAAUGUGUUUCAGUCUUUUUAUGCUAUGGUGAAAACACAAUUUUGUGUGAAAAUAGAAGUACUUCGAAGUGACAAUGGUGGGGAAUUUUUUAGUAACCAAUUAGGUGUCUUCUUAACCAAACAUGGUAUAGUCCACCAAAGCUCUUGUACAAAUACACCACAACAAAAUGGGUUUGCAGAAAGAAAAACCGACAUAUUUUGGAAGUAACUAGAGCCUUGAUGUUCACUAGUCAGAUACCACAUUAUCUUUGGGGUGAACCCGUGUUAACUGCUACAUAUCUUAUUAAUAGAAUGCCUAGUAAAACUCUAAACUAUAGAACUCCUUUCAGUCUCUUUACAGAUAACUUUCCUAACUCUAAAUUGACCACAGAUUUAUCCCUCCGAGUUUUUGGGUGUAGUGUUUUUGUCCAUCUUCACAAUCAAGGUAAACUAGAUCCUAGAGCAAAAAAUGCUUUUUUGUUGGCUAUGCUUCUAGUAAAAAGAGUUACAAAUGUUACAAUCCAAUUGAUUGGAAGAUUAUUGUUACCAUACCUUAUGUUCAUGAAUUCUCAUCAUCACAUGUUUAUAAAUGCAACUCAAACUUGAAUAAUUGAAUAUUUUGUAAUUCUACAUGUAUUUUUUUUAUGGUGAGCAGUAUAAUGUUCACUAAAAAUUGAAAUUCAAGAAAGAAGACAUACAUAGUUGCACCAUACAAGAUGUUACACUCGAACUAAACCCUUACAAAUAGUACAAAUUGCAAUGAAAUACAGAGGAAUUGGUACAAUCAUAAAGACAGACACAUACCAAUGCAACUUUUCACCAUAGGAAAAACUUUCUGACAGACUACUAAACAAGAAAUUAUGAAGACACAGCAGAAAGGCUUUAACUUCAUUUGCACCAACUAGAUCCUUCUUCAUCCAUUGAUGCGAUUGCUAUAUUUUGGUUUUCUUCUUCGCCUCUUCUCAUGUUGGUCUUCAACCAAAUUCACAAACCUUUUCGCCUUACCGGUUUGGAAAACAACACAUCCCAUGGCCAUUCCAAACACUACCCCGCAUCCAUAACCUAUCAACACCACUUUCCAAUCAAAAGCAAUGUAUCGAAAUGGGGUGGGCAAUGGUCGACUCAAAAGCGGCACACAGAGGGUAGAUUUUAGGGUUGGUUAGAUUUUUUUUUAGAAAUGGAGUGUCUGCUAAUAUUUAGGGUUUAUGUUGAGUUAUUUAUGGCGUAUGAAACGACGACGUUUGACGCCAUUUCAGUGGUUUCAAAACGGCGUCGUAUACGGCCGAGAUUCGUGCGGUGACUCGACCCGGGGAGGAUCCGUGUGUUUUCACAUUGGUGGGAUAUCUGUGCUCUAGGUCCUCAAUAUUUGCACUUUGUUUUAAUUCGGUUUCUUUUGAUUCUUCAAAUUGGGCUUCAUAAUUUCUUGCUGACUUCAUUUUAGUCCACUUGCAGCGCUGCGUUUUGGUGGGCAAGGAAUAUUUCCUAUUUUAGUCCCCCAUGUUAUUCAUGAUUUGUAAUUUGGGUCCUUUCCUUUUAUUUAUUUUAGAUUUUUCCCCUGAAUUACUGCUUUAAUGCCAAUUUAGUUCUUUGUUUGUUAUUAUUGCUAUAGAAUUAUUUAGUUUGUUAUUAUUGGUGUUACUAUUAUUAGUUUAUAUAUUUACUUAUUUUUAUGCAUGUACAUUAUUUUAUUAUGUAGUCUUAUUUUAAUUAUUUUUUUAUCUAAUGCAUUAGUAUAUAUUUUUAUGUUAAUUCAAUAUUAUCUAUACAUUUUUAAUGAGUUUAUUUUUAUAAUACAUUUUUCUUAAAAUGUUUAUUUAUAUAUACUUUUGUGCUUUAAAAAUCAAUAAUAUUUUUAUAUAAUACUAUUUUAUAUAUAUAUAUAAUUUGUAUUAAGUUUUUUUAUUAUACAUAUAUAUACCUAAUAUAUCAUCGAUUUCAUAUUUACGUAUUUUUUUACUUAUUUCAUCAUUUAAAACUUUACUUUAUUAUAAACUUGAUUUAUAUCAACCUUUUAUACAUACAAUUAUACAUAUAUUAUUAUAAGAAAUUUUACAAUCCAUAUGUAAUAUUUAUUUAAAUUAAUAUGUAUAUAUUAUUUCAUGUAUUUCGGUUUUCUUCAUAUACAAUACUCACUUUAAAAUUUAUUUUAAUAUUAUUUUUUUCAUAGUAUUUAUAUUUUAUCUUCAUUUUUGACUUAUUUCAAACUCAUAUAUGUAUAUUGUUUAUUUUAAAAUUUUACACAUAGAACUCAUUUUUUGUAUUGAUAAUUUUAAAUUUCCUUGUGUAUGUUUUUUUAUUUAUUCUAAAACUUGUUACAUUUUAUUUGUGUUAAUCUGCUUGUUUCUUAGUUUUUUUAUUAGCUUUUAAAUAUUAAUGUUGAUAUUUACGUGUGAUGUAAGAUUAUUGCCCUAAUGUGUAUUGUAUUGCUUAUUUGUAUUCAUUAGUAUACAUUUUGGCUUAUGAAUUAUCAUUUCACGUUACAUUAUCAUUCCAUCAUUUUUUUUAAAAAGGGGAUUACGUUUAAUUUAAGCACUAAAAUCGAUUUAUCCAUAAGAUAACGCAAUACUCGGCAUUUGAGAUCUUCGAGCAGAUUGAGUCCUAACGUAUUGGGUUCCAAUUUUCCUUGUUGAAUCUAAAUAAUCAAGAAUAUUCUUUAAUCAAAACACAUAAAUAAAAAGCUCAUUCUCGGGAAUUUGAUACGUUGUGUCCUAACGCAUUGGAUAUGGCAUAUUGUUUUCUCGAGAUGAGGAUUUUUUUCUAAAAAAUAAUAAAGGCAAUAUUCAAUGUUUGGAAUUUUGAGAAAUUGUGCCCUAACGUAUUUGGUUUCGAUAUUUCAUCUGACUUAAACAAUUGAAUAUCCUUUUUAAACUUCACUGCAUGAGUUUUAAAAAAAAAUCAAAAGACAAGCUCAUUUUUGAGGAUGCGAAACAUCACAUCCUAACUCAUUGGAUGUGACAUUCUAUCUCCCAAAAUGAAGGGGGUCUUAGCACGCAUUUUGAUUACAUUUGAGCUCCCUAAACAACUAAGAAAAUUAAGAUUGAUGAGAUUACAAAGUAGAUUGACUUAGCCUUCUUCCUUAUAAUACGUAAAGAACGUGAGUGUCUAUUCACUUAGUAUGUAUGGCCGUCAAGCAAUGUAGAAAUUCGCACACAAAAGAACGAAAUUGUGCACUACUUAAAAAUUCAAAGCAUGUGUGACCUAUAUUCAUUUAUUUUAUUGCAUAAAAUUCAAGGCAUGUAUGUUGAAUAAUUUUAUCCAAGAAGCAUAUUUUCCACAAAACUUUAAUUUGUUGCCAUUAAAUAUGUCAUUUUCUAUUAACGGCAAAAAAACUAUCCGGUAAACCGCAUCUUUUUCUUUAGAUGAAAUUUUGUAAAAAAAAUUUGACAUUAUCACUAAUAUGGUCCUUCAAUUUUAUUUUUUUUAAAAUCAUUUUAACUCUCGAUUUAAUAUUUCGCCUCUUUGAGCUUUUAAAUUUGCGUUAUUUAUCAAAUUAUCUCAAAAUGGAUGAAAAAGUUAACAUUUGUUAAUUUUAUUGACGAGACAUACAUAUCGAUAUCAUAUAAACAGUUAAUUGAUUUUUUUAAAAAUUUUUAAAAAUAAAGCAUAUAUUAAAAUUUUCUAAGAAAUAAUGACCAAACUUGGAACAAUCGCAGAAGAAUGUCCAAUAAUUCCAAACAAAUUAACGCAACAUUUUAGUUAUUGUCUACUGUCCAAUAACGCCAUGUGUAUUAGUACAAACAUUCAUUAAACCUAAUUUAAUUUUAGCCCUUAAUUUAAUUUUUCAUCUUUUUUUAGCCCUUAAUCCACAUUGUUUAUCAAAUAACCCUUAAACUUACAUUGUUAUCAGAUGAAAAAAUUAAUAUAUAUCUAUUAACUUUGCUAGCGUGCAUAUAUAUGCAACUUCAUUUAAAUCUAAAAAAUAUAAAAAUUUAUUAAAUAUGUAUAAAUCUAAAAAUUUCUUAAAAUUAAAACUAAAUUUUUUUAAACUAAUGCAAAUUUUUAGUAUUUAAAAAAUCUUAAAAUUUUUAAAUUAAAUUCCUUUUCUUUUCCAGCGUUGAAGAACACCUUCAAUCACAUCAACAACUUCAUGCUGUUUUGCCUAGAAAUUGUUUUGCAAAUUUAUUUUGUUUUAUUUAUUUCUAAACCCAUAUUUCUUUUCUAUAACUCUAAUUAUUAGAUUGUUUAGGGUUUUGAGUAACUUUCGAUUUUGGAAUUUUAGAUUUUUUAAAUUUAAAUACGAAGUGCUUUUCUUCUUCUCCAAACCCAUAAUUUUUUCUGCCAAAUUUCAACUCAAGGUUUCACUUUUAGCUAUAAAUAAAACAUAUAUUAUAUUUAUAAUGACCUAAGAAUAGUAAAGUUGACGCCGAUCUACAUGAAAAAGGAGGAAAAAAAAAACAGGCAAAGAAAGAUAAUAUGAAGAGAGCAUAAAUCAAUAAAGCAAAUGAAAAACAAGUAGAAUUAAAGUGAAUGAGUAUUUAAUAAUUUUUUUGUGAAAAACGAGUAGAAUUAAAGUGAAUGGGUAUUUAAUUUUUUUUUUUGUGAAAGUUCAAAGACUGAAUAUUUAUGAGCUUGGAUGUGGAAAAAUUAGUUGGAAUUUUUUUUUUCUUGCACCAAUUGAUUUUUUAUAUAAAAUUUGUAUUUAUUUUUUAAGAUUUUUAAAUUUUGUUACAAUUAUUUUUAUGAAAAUUUGAAAAUAUAAAAAUACUUUUUGAACUAUAAUUCAAGGAUUAAAUUAGCUAUUAAUCAUUUGAAUAAAUAAAACAUAUACAUGAAUUAAGUAAUUAAUCCACAAGCAAUGUUGGACAUUUUCAUAAUGCCAAAUUUCACUUCAGAUUUAGUUACCCAUAAUCAUAUUUAAACAAACAAAAACACAACAAUCACACAAAAUAGGCAUAACUAGAAAACAUGAGAAAAAUGAGAAAAGCUUGAAAACAAUUACAAUGGUAGCAAAGGAAAUGUAAAAAAAAAAAAAAAACACUUAAAAAUCAGAUUUUUAAUGAUGAAGGGAAUUGAUUUAUACUAAAACCAAGAAUUAAACUAAAAAUACAAAGAGUUACAGGUACUAAACAAGCAAAUAAAUCCUAGCUACAAUGAUAAUUAACUUAAUUAACUACUAUUGGAACCAAGAAAAACUAAAAGAAAACAUGAAUUACACCCUAGAGUUAUGGAGAAGAAAACAAAAACUCUAAAAAUAAAGAGGAAAUUUGAAAACCAUGAAAUGUUAAGUGUGCCUUUUGUUCAGCCAAUUUUUUGCCCUUUCUAGAAUUACAGAUCCAAAAAUAGUGACCAAAUUGUCCUUGAUCGUCGAAUUUUGGUUAGGGGACAUGUUGGAAAAGGAUUAGCCCUACGGUUAUAUUUUGUCUUCUCUCAUCAAUGAUAUUGCGAUACCCAAAUUUGGUAUCGCGAUAUCCACAACAGUCUUGGGGAUCCUUGGGAGUUUUGGGUAUCGCGAUACCUUACGACCGGUAUCAAGAUAACACUAUUGAUGGCUCAAUCUUCCUUGUUUUUAACAUUGUUAUGGGUAUUACGACUUUCAUGCUUUGAUAUGCGAUACCCUCUUUCUAGGUGACAUUUUUGCUCCUUUCGGGCCAUGAUGGGCUCUCUGCAUCACUCACCAACCUCAUUAGAUUCCCCAGGUGCCAUUUGGCCAUCUCAGGUCUCAAAAUAGCAUCAAAAUGCACACUAACCAUUUAUUAAUAUAAAGAACUAAAACUAAAUAAAAACACAACAAAGAUAUCUAAAUUGCUCGAAACUAAGCUUUUAAGUGUGAUGGAGAGCCUAAUUUGACAUAUCAAUUUACAGCAGAUCAUAAACAUAAUUUGCGGAACCUUGUUAAAAUUUCGGAUUUCUUUAUUAGUUUUUCUUUCAAUAUUUUAAACGGUACAUUUGUAGUAAUAUAUUGUGCAGAUCAUAGACUAAAAUGCUUUAUUAGUUUUCUAUUGUUAAUCUCUUUUUUUUCUUAUUAUUAACACCACUUCCUUUUUACCAUAUAAUUUUUAUUCAUAAGAAAGAAGUGAAAUAAUUAGAAUGAAUGAGAUUACAAAGUAUAUUGACUUGGACUUGCUUCCUUUAUAUGUAUGAAUGUGGAAAUUGGCAUAAUGCCAACUUAUUUUCCACGCAGAAGAAGAAAAUGGUGCUCUAUUCACUCAGUUUCUAACAACACCAUAAUAACAACACCAAUUUGAACUCCCUAAAGAAAGAAGAAGUGAUGAGAUUAGAAAGUAUAUUGACUUGGUCUUGCUUCCUUUAUAUGUAUGAAUGUGGAAUUUGGCAUAAUGCCAACUUAUUUUCAACGCAGAAGAAGAAAAUGGUGCUCUAUUCCCUCCCUUUAACUUAGCAACUAAGGUCUAGCAAACAAGGCCACAUAUGACUUAGAUAUAUAUAUAUAUAUAUAUAUAUAUGGUCCCUAAGUGUGUAUAUAUUAAUAUAUUUUAAAGUAGACAAACUUAUGCCUUAAAAGUUGAAUAAUAGUAUCUAAGAAACAAAUUUUCCACCAGACUGAAAAUUUUGUAUUGCUUGGAAUUAAUUGACUGUCAUUUUCUAUUACUUGCUAGAAAUAUAUUGUAUUGCUUUAAAUUCAAACAAGAAAUAGGGGAAAUUUCACAUCAAUGCAUUCACUUCACUUGGUCAACUUGAUCGACUAGCAGGAAGGAAAUUUCAGUCAUUUGCAGCAUCAGAAUUCCACACCCUCAAAAUAAUUUGCAAUUUCAAAAAUAGAUGAAUUAGUGUGGUUCAAAUACCAAGACUACAAUAUCUAUUCACUUCACUUCGUCUUUAUUACUCACACAGAAUUUAUCAUCAUCAUCAUCAUCAUUAUAUUACUCUUUUAUUGUUAUUUUUUAUUUUUUUCUUGUUACUUUUAUUUGUUAUUAUUAUUAUUUUUAUACUUUCAUGUUUUCUUUUUCAUAUAUUCCACCUUUUAUUUGUUUAUUUAAUUCUUUUACUUAAUUAAUAUUAGAUUUUAUUAGUUGAUGUUAUUACUUAUUUAUUGUUUUUGAUAUAUCAUCGCUUCGUUAAUAUGCACCAUCAUUUUAUUAUUGUUACAAUUACGUCACGAGCCGUUUUAAAUGUAUUCAUGCUUUUCUAAUAUGCCCCGAAUAAAUUAAAUACCUACCGUUUUAAAUAUUACAUUAACUUUUAUGCGAUACCUAAAAAACGAAUUUUUUUUUUACCAAGACAAAUGUUUGUUAUUUCAAAUUUAGAAAAAUCAUGUUCUAACUUACGGAAUAUGGUUUCCUUCUAAAAUUGAGAUAAUUGAAUAUAUUUUAAAAUAAAUAUUAUUUUUUUUGCAUUUGUUCUCGUUUUCGGGAUUUAAGGCAUGGUGUCCUAACUUACGGAACGUUAUCCUUUUUCCCAAUUAAUUUGAAAUAAAUCCAUUUUUGUGAAAACAAAAUUAAGUAAUAUUGUAACGAAGGAUCGUAUUUUAAAAUCUCUUCAAAUUCUCAAUUUUUGACACUAAGACAUUAAUUAAUUAAUCAAUUAGGUACUAAUUUUGGGCGGUACGAGGGUGCUAAUCCUUCCUCGUACGUAACCGACUCUCGACCCAUUUCCUGGAUUUUUGUAGACCAAAAAUUGUUGCUUCAGUAAAUCAAAUCUUUUAUUAAAACGAUUAAAUUGGAAAGUGAUCCGAUCACACCUAAUAAAAAGGAUUGGUGGCGACUCCCAUUUUCGUUUUCAAAAUAAAAGUCGACCCUUUUCAAAAAUAGUUUCGACAAUGUGUAACAAGUAUUUUUAUUAAUCCAUUUGGAACAAGAUUUUGUUGUCUAAUGUUAAGGUUUGCUGGAGCAAAUAAAUUGAUUAAUGCUUUGAACUUUCCCAAACACUUUUUAUAGUUUUGUUAUAUGCAUUUUGUAUAAUUAGUAUAUUUGAAUAUAUUAGAUACAUUGUCUAAAACAAUGUCAAUUGUAAUUUUUUAUAUUUUAUUGAUCAUAAGCUUAUUAUAUAAAUAAUAUUUUUUUAAAAAGAUGGAGUGAUACAUUUACGUAGUGCUUAUGAAUAUAAUGUUGGAUUAAAAUCCUUAAUUCUGAGUACAUAUGUAUAAUGCUUGAAAUUACAAUUAUCUUAAUAAUUUUGUUUCUGUUUUUGUUGAUUGAUGAUUAUAAAAAUCAUUAUUCUUCUGAAGGCAUGCUUUGUUGUCAAUGACAGUACCUGCACCCUAGAAAAAUCACCAGCUUUAACAACUGUAAGAGUUGUCCUGCCUGACAUUUACUAAAAAAUCACCAGGAAGCACAUUGUCAGGAGAUCCUUGCUGGAAAAAACUUGGUAGGAUGGUUUCUUUUUCUGCAAACUUAGGAUUUCAAUUGAUGUUGAUGCAACAUUUUAGAUCAAGGAACUUGCAAGCCUAUUAUGGUAGAAAUGUUUUAUCCAAAUGAUAAAGAUGUUGAUGCAACAUUUUAGAUUGCAAAUUCCUUGAUCACAUUUGGAAUCCUAAUCACAGGGACUUGCAAGCCUAUUAGCUCCAGGAACUUUAGAUUGUACCUGUUCAAAACAUUUUUUCAAAGAAGGAACCAUAGGUGAAAGGCGUCUAUUCUGGUUCAUCUCAUUGAAUACAUCAAAUGAAGGAUCAAUACGCUGAAAAAGGGACAAUGGAAAGAACUUUAGCCAACAACUUGAAUUUUAUAACUACUCCUAUGCCAACCAGCAAACCAUAACAGCGUGUACAUAAAAAAGAGGAUGCUGACUUACAAUUCCUUUCAUUUCACCACAACCAAUCAAAUCCCUUGCAAUGCUGUUUGGAUCACAGCAGCUCAUCUUUCAAUCCUAGAUGGCUCCGCCAAUUUUUUGAAAGCAUACAUAAACUGUUAAAGAAAUAAAUGGAUAAAACACCUACAGGAUAGAAGGCUGAAAAAUUACAAAGGGCAAUGACCUUAUUGUUAAAAUUCCAACGUCCAUUCCUUGGAAAGAUAUCUUACACCAUUGCCCACUCAAGAGAACUCAAAUAGCAGCAAGAUCUAGUAUAAAAUGUAACUCUCAACAACAUACACAAAUGUUUGUUCUAUCAAGGAACAACAUACACAGACAUAUUCACCUACCCUUGGUGCUGGCAGAAUAUGCCCAUUCACUUGGGUGAAAUUAGAGUUGAUAUUAACCCCACAAGAUUUCAGCACCAUAAUUACUGCUAAGUAAAACCUGCACAUAAAUUUUCAGCGCUAUGUAUACAUUGUGUCACUUGCAUCCAAAUCAAAUAUUUCGGGCUACAGAGUUUCAUAGAUAUGACGAAGGUAUUAUCGGGGGAUUGUACCAUGUAUACCUGACACGAAGGACCUACGACUAUGGGAGAUCUCAAGCACUUCGUUUUCCAUGCGCACAUGCAAUUGCUGCAUGUGCCUCAACAUGUCUGGACUGCAUGAGCUAUGUUGACGAUGUGUACAAACCAAAAUGCAUAUAUAAAGUAUGAAAAUUUGAAUUCCCACCAGACCCAAAAAGCCUACUGGAUUUUGGUCGGAUACGCAACAAUAUGAAUAUUUGGGAGAAGAUUGACCAACCAAGGUUAUACAAUUAUUGUAGGAACGGCCUGGGCAUAGUAAGUCAAGAUGUCCACAAUUGGGGGCAACAUUGAGGAGAAGAACAAAUUAAAACAUUCGAUCGUUUUUUUUUGAAUAAGCAUACAAGAAAAAACAAAUAAAUUUUUUCAUUUUUUCAUUGCUUCUCAGCUUUUGGUAAAUUGUAAAUAAGUAUAUAUAAUUAAUGUAAAAUACAAUACAAUACAAAACAAUAUAAAUACUUUUUUUCCUUUUUUUUAGAUUGUAAAUAAGCUUAUUAUUGAAAAGGCAUACAAUAGAAUACAAUAGAAAUAAUUUUUUAAUUUUUUCGUAGAUUGUAAAUAAGUAUACAUUAUUGAUGUAAAAUAUAGUUGAAAAUACUUUUUUGAUAAAAUUGGAAUAAACACAUUAUGGAUGGAAAUUUUUAAUACAAUACAAAUUGAUCAUUAACAAACUAAAUGACGAUUUACAUAAGAAAAAUUUAAAAUAAAAAAAUCAUCAGCUUUGUUGGCCCGAAUGUGUGCCACAACCCGGUGAGUGUCAGUUAUGAGUAGGAUUUCAUCGUAGUUGGGGUUCUAGCUCUUCCUUAUCUUCACCUCCACCUCCAACUUGAUCUUCACCUUCAUCUUGUUCCUCUGUGCUUGUAUGCAUUAAAUUCUUGCAAUACAGGGGAGAGAAACCUAGUUUUCCCGUAAGCUUAUUAUCAAAAAAGUUGAGCAGUUUCAGGUUCCAGCAAAUGGAAAGGGGCUCAGCGAUCUUACUCAGCCAAUAGUGAGCUAAGAAAUCUUUAAUGACAAUAUGGGUGCGGGUUUUCGAGGAAUACAAAUAACCUCUGGGUUUUUUUUCCAAAUUUGACAAGCAUCUAGAAUAACUAGUGAAUUACAAUUCUAUUGUACCACAAUAGGUGCAUUGGUCUUUGCGGACUUGAUGUUUUUUGCCUGUUGGUUCUAUUAUCACAAAGCAAACCCAAAAUUGGCUUGGUUCCGAGAUGUAGAAUCUAUAUUGAAUCACCAUUUAGCAAGGCUACUGGGGCUUGGUUACCUUUCUUGGGCGGGGCAUCAAGUACAUGUCUCUUUACCAAUAAACCAAUUUCUAAAUGCUUUAGUAGACUCUAAAGAGAUCCCACUUCCCCAUGAAUUUAUAUUGAAUCAUGAUCUUUUGGCUCAACUUUAUCCCAGUUCUGUCGAGGGAACAACCCCAUUUUUACCUUGAAUUGGUCAAAAUAUGCGAAAUUUCUUACUAUUCGUGGAUGAUUAAAUCCAGUGAUUGGGGGUCCAUGGUUGACUGGCAUUGCACACCAUCAUUUAGCUAUUACAAUUCUUUUCCUAAUAGUAGGUCACAUGUAUAGGACCAAUUGAGAUAUUGGACAUAGCCUAAAAGAUAUUCUAGAGGCUGUUAACCACCAGGUCGGAGGUUCAAGCCCACUUUGUAGCGUUUCACUUUUGGUAAAAUUUCAUCCUUGGUCCCUUUAAAUUCCUUUUUGCUUUAAUUUGAUUGCUUUCUAGACCAAGAAGCAGACCAAGCUGUAAGAGCCAUGCAAGCUGCACCUGAAGCUUAUGUUGCUGUUUUGUUACUUUCAAAUAGAUAUUUUAUUACUUACUUAGAUAUGAACUAAGUUGUUGAUAUGCUUGAACUAAUUAGGUGCUGAUAGAUUGAUAAAUCAGCUUUACCAAGUGUACAAGCAAUGUUUAUCAAGUUACUAAGCCACUUAGUGGAGUUAGGUAUGUGUUUAGGUAACAUUUUCUUAUUUUUGACCAGCUGAUUGCUUAGUAUAUGUAAUGGCAUUGUGCCUUCAUUCAAAUGUAAUGAAAUCUUUCAGAAAAUUCUUCUUCAUUUGGUCUUUACUUAAAACAUUUUUAUUCACAAAGCUCUUGCUGUUUUUGUUUUGUUUGUUGAGCUAGAUAUCAAUGCUUUAUGCUUAAGUUUCUGUCAAAAUUUCUAAUUUUGUUUUCUUAGUUCCUACAGACAUUUUGUUCUCCUUUCUCCUUGACUGAGCAGUAGCAAAGAUUAUUGAGACUAAAUUGAAAUCCAUGAAAGAAGACAUAAACAACACCACCAUACAAAAUGUUACACUCAAACAAACCAUUACAGAUAGUACGAAAUGCAAUGAAAGACAGAGGAAUUGGUACAAUAAUAAAGACAGACAGAUCCCAAUGCAACCCUUCACCAUAGGCAAAACGGUCUACAAAACAAGAAAUUAUGAAAAUACAACACUAAUUCUUGAACAUCAUUUGCAGUAAUUAGAUCCUUCUUCGUCUACUGCUACGAUUGCCUUUCUUUGACUUUCUUCUUCGCCUCUUCUCUUGUUGGUUUUCAACCAAAUUCACCAACCAUUUCGGCUUACCAGUUUGGAAAACAACAUAUCCCACGGACAUUCCGAACACCACUCCGCAUCCAUAACCUAUCAACACCACUUUCCAACCAAAAGCAAUGUUUGAUUUUGAGCCAUCUUUUUCAAGCACAUUUGGAGGUGCUGGCUCAAUGAUGUUGCAACCUUUCGAGACCGGAAAUCCACAUAGUCCCUUAUUCCCUUCAUAUGAAUCAUUUCCAAAUGUGUUGAAUAGUUUGCCUUGAGGAAUCUGACCAUGGAGUUGAUUUUCAGAAACAUUUAAGGACGAAAGAAAUGGCAGAUCUGCCAAUCUAUUUGGAAUCAUCCCAGACAACCUGUUUGAAGAUAGGUCCAACCAUUCAAGACUUGUCAAAUUCCCUAUUGAGGUGGGGAUAUCACCAUUAAGGUUAUUAUGAGAAAGGUUGAGCCCUUUCAGUAAGUUAAGCUUCCCAAUAACCUUUGGAAUACCCCCUUCAAACUGAUUGUUUGAUAGAUCAAUGAUCAUCCACAUGGUGAAAAUUUUCACCAAUUCCAUAUCUCUCCCUUUCAUAACAAUUCCAAUGGAAUAGGUAUAGAAGUCACCUCCAUCAUCAUUCACCCCCAUGUACGACACUGUACUACCAAUCUUCUCUACAUUUAUGAUAGCCUUGAAGCUGUUGAUGUAUCUCACUGGUAGGGGUCCAGAAAAAUAGUUACUUGAGAGGUCAAAAAUUUGGAUUUUAGAGAAAAAAGGGCUAGACUUAGAGCUAUUGACACAUAAGGAACCAUGCAUAUGAUUUGACUUCAAUACAAGAACUUGCAAAAAUGGAAGACUUCCCAACCAAUGAGGAAAUGUAUCAUUGAUCUUGUUGUUACCAAGAUCUAGCACUUCCAGACCAUUACAAUUAAGGAUGGAUGGUGUCAAAAGCCCUUCUAACAGAUUUCCAUUUAAGUUGAAAUUACUCAAUUGGCAUCCCUCUGCAAAUGUUGGAGGAAUCGUCCCAUAAAACUUGUUCUUCUUCAGAUUCAAGAAUUCAAGGCCGUAGCUCAAAUUUCCAAAACAUUGCGGAAUUGUUCCACUCAAGUUAUUGUGGGACAAAUCAAGAAUUCGAAGAGAAGUGACAUUGCAGAUUAAAGAAGAGACCUCUCCAUUGAAACUAUUAUUUGAGAUCAGAAAGACAUUGAUGGUCGAAGCUGGAAUCGGAAGAUUUCCACGGAUCAAAUUGGAGCUUAAGUCAAGAAAUUCAAUAUUCUUCCAUGGAAAGUGCUCAACUUCUGUCAAAGAGUUGUGAGAUACAUUUAAGUAAGUCAAAGAGUCAUUCCCCACCUCUUGCAUCCACUGUGGAAUCUUGCCUUCAAUUUUGUUGCAAGAGAGGUCUAAGCUUUCCAAACUUUUAAGCCCUUUUAAAAAUUGGGGGAAUUCACUAAGAUUAUUUGAGGAUAAAAGGAGGUGGGUAAGAUUGAGAAAUUGGGAUAUUGAAGAUGGAAGAGGACCCUGGAGUUUAUUAUUGUCUAGAUAUAAAUAUUCUAGUGAUUUGGAUUGGAAUUCUUUGAUACGCCCACUGAAUUGAUUUUGAGAGAGAGAUAUUGCCUUUAAGGAGGGAGCAGUAUACAGCCAUGACGGAAGUGUUCCAUUGAGUAAAUUGUUCGUUAAGUCUAAGGCUAUGAGAUUAGGAAGAGCGGUUACCUCAUCUGGAAUGGAACCUUCUAAAGAAUUUUCAGAUAUUUCCAAGUAUUCCAGCUGCGUUAGGUUUAGAAUUGACAAUGGAAUUUGUCCACUCAAUUGGUUCUGCGAGAAGUCUAAAUGAGUGAGUUGCAAGAGGUUCCCCAAUGAUCUUGGAAUUUGUCCACUCAAUUGGUUCUGUGAGAAGUCUAAGUGAGUGAGUUGCAAGAGGUUCCCCAAUGAUCUUGGAAUUUGUCCACUCAAUUGGUUUUGUGACAAGUCUAAAUAAGUGAGUUGCAAGAGGUUGCCCAAUGAUCUUGAAAUUUGUCCACUCAAUUGGUUCUGCCACAAGUCUAAAUGAGUGAGUUGCAAGAGGUUCCCCAAUGAUCUUAGAAUUUGUCCACUCAAUUGGUUCUGCGAGAAGUCUAAAUGAGUGAGUUGCAAGUGGUUCCCCAAUGAUCUUGGAAUUUGUCCACUCAAUUGAUUCCCCGACAAGUCUAAAUGAGUGAGUUGCAAGAGGUUCCCCAAUGAUCUUGGAAUUUGUCCACUCAAUUGGUUCCCCGAUAAGUCUAAAUGAGUGAAUUGCAAGAGAUUCCCCAAUGAUCUUGGAAUUUGUCCACUCAAUUGGUUGUCUCCCAAGUUGAGGAGAUUGAGGCUUGGAAAAUCAAAAAUGUUUUUUGGGAAUUUUCCUUGCAAAUCACAACCAGCAAGACUGAGAGACCUUAGAGAAGAGGAUAGAUUCAUAAAGACAUGAGCAUUAACAGAAGACAUGUUGAUUCCAUCCAAAAACAGAUGCCUGACCUCGGUUAGGUUGUGAACAAGUCCCUCCAGAGCAUGUUUGUCAAUUGUUCUUUCAUAAGCCGGACCGGAGAGAUCAAGUGAAACCAAUUUUGACAGGUGAAGACUUGGGAUGGGACUUCUCCUGCAAAUUCUGUAUAAGAAAGGUUGAGGUAGAAUAGGCUUGUAAACCGACUGAACUCGGAUGGAAUUUUGGAAAGAUUAAAGUCAUUGUAGGCAAGGUUGAGUUUUUGAAGGUGAGGAAGAAGAAAGAGAGUGGUAUUGGAAGGGAAGUUGCCAUAUAGCCAACUGCAGCUCAAGUCAAGGGCAAUAACAUGAGCAUUUAGGUGGUCACAAGUGACCCCAUCCCAUGAGCAGCAAUCUGUACCCUCCUUCCAUGAAUUUGUCUUGGGAUAAGAUUGAAGGCCAGCAAUCUCAUCGCAAUAAGAAGAAGCAUCCUCUGUUAUGGAAAAAGAGUCCUUAAACUGGAUUAGCGAAGAGCAGGAGUGAGAUCCUGAAGAAGAAAAAGAAGCAUAAAGAUGGGGAAAGAAGAGGCAUAGGCAGAGAAAGAGAUAGGAGGCCAUGUUCUGUUUGUAGAGGAAGAUGGAGGAUAGGGAUGGUAUUUAUAGGCAACAAAUAAUACCACAACAUUGGUGUUACAGUCUUUUUUUUUACAUUGAAAAGCUAUGGAUAUUAGAUUUUCAAAAAUUUUAUAAUAUAUGGAUUAUGACAUAUAAAUUAAUGAAAUCAUAUAAUUUUUUGUUAAUAUAUGAAUAUUAUGUUUGAAUGUAAAAUAUAAUUCUCAAGUUAUUUAUUACUUCUAAUAUCUAAUAUUUCAUUGUAGAAUAAUUAAAUUAUUUGUUUCACUAAUGAUAUUUUAGCACAUUAAAUAUGUAUUGCAGUUUAAAAAUAAUAAUGUAGAUUAUAUAUUAUUUUUAUAGUAUUAUAUAUUAUGAUUUUAGUAAAUUCAUAUAGUAGUAAUUUUAUUAAGAAUUUUAUUAAAUUAUAUAUCAUUUUAUUAAAUUAUAUUUAAUAAUAAUUAUGUUAAAAUAUGGUUAAAUUAUUUAUUAUUUUUAUUAAUAAUCUUAUUAAAAUUUAAUAACAAUAACAAUAAUCAUCUACUUAAAAAAAUUUUUGCUAAGGGUAUUUUAGUCAUUUUAGUUUUUUUCCUUAUGCUAUUACAACAUUAUUCCAUUCAACCAAACAGAAGAAUACUAUUACGGUUCUAUUUCAUUCCAUUCAACCAAACAAUUAAAUUAUAGAUUAUAGCUUUAUUCCAUUACAGCUCUAUUAAAUUACAACUCUAUUCCAUUAUAGUGAACCAAACGUACCCUAAGUAUGUAGGGCUGUCAAGCAAUGUAGAAAUUUGCACAGAAAAGAACAAAAUUGUGCACUACAUAAAAAUUCAAAGCAUGUGUGGCCUAUAUUCAUUUAUUAUAUUGCAUAAAAUUCAAGGCAUUUGUGUUGAAUAAUUUUAAAGCAUAUUUUCCACAAAACUUUAAUUGGUUGCCAUUAAAUAUGACAUAUAUUUUCUAUUAACUGCAAGAAAACUAUCCGGUAAACUGCAUCUUCUAUGGUCCUUCAAUUUUAUUUUUUUUUAAAGUCAUUUUAACUCUCCAUUUAAUAUUUUGCCUUUUUGAGCUUUUAAAUUUGCAUUGUUUAUCAAAUCAUCCCAAAAUGGAUGAAAAAGUUAACAUUUGUUAACUUUAUUGACAAGACAUACAUAUCGAUAUCAUAUAAACAAUUAAUUGAUUUUUAAAUUUUAUAUUAAAAUUUUCUAAGAAAUGAGGAAAUUUGGAAGCAUUGCAGAAGAAUGUCCAAUAAUUCCACACAGAUUAACAACUCUAUUGACUACACUACAGAUUAAUAAAAUUUUAUUUGCUGAGCUCAAAAAAAGAAAAAAGAAAAAAUAGUUGCAAUUAAUGUGUUUUUGGUGGUGAGUAGGGGAUUGAAGAAGAAAAUAGAUGGAAAAUUAAAUUAAGUAAAACAAAAGGCAAGUCUAGUUGUCCACUACAACUUUUUCAUUCUAAAGAAAUAAUAUUUUACCAGCAUCGUUGAAAAAUUAACACAAAAAGUAAGUCUAGUGUGGAAAAUUGAAAAAUUACAUUGUAAAGCUGAAGUGGAAUUUAGAACAAAAGCAAAACACAGGCCUUAAUUAGUGGUUAUUGUCAAAAAGUAAUUGGACACAACAAUUGCAACUGCAAGGUAUUUUCUGAUUCAUAUUAUUGAAGAAUUCAAGGCCCACUGUUCCUUCGCUUCAUGUGGAACUGAAGAAGAAAAUUGUGGGUAAAUUCAACAGAAAGCAAGUCUAAGUCAUGAAUUAAAGGUUGAGUAGGACUAACAAAUUCAGACAUUAUUCACAUUUGAGUCGUAAAGUCAUUAAUCUCUCAUUAGUGCUACCAAUAACAAUGUCUUUUCCAUAUAAGUAUAGGGUACAACGAUAAGAUUAAAUCAAAAUUAAAACAAAAGCAAAACAGGCUUAUUACUUACUCCUUAAUUAGUGCUUAUAGUCCAAAAGUAAUUGGACACACAUCAAUUAGAAUUGCAAGGUAUUUUCUGAUUCAUAUUAUUGAAUAAUUCAAGACCCAUAUCUCAUUUAAAUGUCCAAUAAAAAUGUCGUCACCCGUAAGUUAGGAUGCAACAUUUAAAUUCCCGAGCAUAAUCUAGCCUUUAAAAACCUUUAUUGAAACUUUAUGUAUUUGAAAACUAAAAAUGUUUGACCACCUUGGUUUAGUGAGGAAAUCGAAACCCCGUAACUUAGGGCACAAUUCUUCGAAGUUCCAAAGACGAUAUAUAAGUUUGCCUUUAUUUUAAAAAAACCUUGUCUCGAGAUAUCGAAAGGUCAUAUCCAAUGAGUUAGGACACAACGUUUCGAAUUCCCGAGAUAAGCUUUGAUUUGAAAUUUUUACAUUUUAAUUAAAGAAGGAUACUCGGUUACUUAAAUUCAACGAGGAAAAUUGGAGCCCAGUAAGUUAGAGCAUAAUCUUCUCGAAAAUCUUGGAUACCGAGUAUUACGUUAUUUUGAAAACCUUUGAAUAAAACGAUUGCAACACUUUGAUUAAACGCAACCUUUUAAACGAAUAAAAUGCGAUGGAACAAUAAUGUACAGCGCAAAGUGAUAAUUCGUAAACUAAAAUAUAUGCUAAUGAUCGACAAGGAAUCAAUGAAUACGGGUAAGCAAUACAAUACAUCAUAUAAGAGCAACAAUCUCAUAUCCCACAUUGUGCAAAUACUAACAAUAUAAAAUAAAAACUUAAUAUAGACAAUAAUGUAUACAAAUAAUAUAUAUAUAUAUAUAUAAAUGUUGAAAUAAACAAAGCGUAUAAUUAAAUAGGACCUAAAAAUAUAAACUAUGUAUACAAUAAUAGGUUUUUUUCUAAAAUAUAUGAACACAUUUAAAAGAGAACUUAACGUUAAUAAUUAUAAUAAUAUGAAAUUAAUAAUAUAUAUAUAGAAUAAAAAUAAUUUAAUAUAAAUUAUAUGUAUAUAUAUAAAAUAGUAUUAUAUAAAAAUAUUUUCAUAUAAAUCUUUAAUACAUAGAAAUAUAUAAAAAGUGAAUUUUAAAAAUAUAUUAUAACAUAAAAAACAUCAAAGAAUAUUCGCGCGUUAGAUAUGCUUUACACAAAAUAAUAGAAAAAUAUGAUAAAUUUAAGUAAUGAAACAUAAUAAAUUUUAAAUAAUAAUACAUAAUGAAUUUUAAAGUAAUAAUACAUAAUAAAUCUAAAAUGUAAUACAUGAUAAAUUUAUAUAAUAUUAAUGAUAAAUUUAAAAUAAUAAUAUCUUGUAAAAAAUUAAAAAAAAAUACAUGAAACUUGAAAUAUCAAUUCAUGAAAGAUUUAAAAUAAUAAUACAUAUAAAACUUAAAAUAAUAAUAAGAUAAAAAUAUUAAACUCAUUCACUAAAUUAGAUUUAAAGUUAAAUAUAUUAAAAAUGAAAUAAUAUACAUUUAAAUAAAUAAAAAAAACAUUAAAAUGAACUAAAGGAUUAAAAUAGAUUUAAAACAUAAAUAAAGGGUCAAAGUAUGACGUGCGAAUAACAUGGGAGCCGAAUGGGAAAUAUUCCAUUUCCUCAAAACGCAGCGUCUUUGCGUGAACCAAAUUAGAUUGAAACAUAAAAUGCGUGACCAAAUUUGACAACUGAAAUAAAAGGAUCAAUUCGAAUGAGUUAUAAAAAAGGGGACCAUUUGCGCAAAUUCACAUUGCGCUAUAAAACACGCGGAUCUGGAACCUGGUUCGGGUCGGGUCAUCGGGCAUGGCCAGUACGGUGCCGUUUUAGAGCCGUUGAAGUUGGUUUAUACGGCGCCAUUGCACGAUUAAUAUAAAACUCAAAUUAACACCAAUAUUAGGCCAUUUUAAACAGCCGAAAACCCUAGCCGCUCAAUCGCUCUAUUCCAUUACAGAUUAUAGUUUUAUUCCAUUACAGCUUUAUUCAAUUACAUAGCUCUAUUUCAUUACAGUAAAUCAAACGUACCCUUAGUAUGAAUGGUUGUCAAGCAAUGUAGAAAUUUGCACACAAAAGAACAAAAUUGUGCACUACUUAAAAAUUCAAAGCAUGUGUGGCCUAUGUUCAUUUAUUUUAUUGCAUAAAAUUCAAGGCAUGUAUGUUGAAUAAUUUUAUCCAAGAAGCAUAUUUUCCACAAAACUUUAAUUUGUUGCCAUUAAAUAUGUCAUUUUCUAUUAACUGCAAGAAAACUAUCCGGUAAACUACAUCUUCUUCUUUAGAUCAAAUUUUAUAAAAAAUAUUUGACAUUAUCACUUAUAUGGUCCUUCAAUUUUAUUUUUAAAAAAAUAAUUUUAAAUUUGCAUUUAAUUUUUCGCCUCUUUGAGCUUUUAAAUUUGUAUUAUUUAUCAAAUCAUCUUAAAAUGGAUAAAAAAUUAACAUUUAUUAACUUUAUUGACGAGACAUACAUAUCGAUAUCAUAUAAACAAUUAAUUGAUUUUUAAAUUUUAAAAAUUUUAAAAAUAAAACAUAUAUUAAAAUUUUCUAAGCAUUGCAGAAGAAUUUCCAAUAAUUCCACACAAAUUAACAACAAUAUAAACGCAAUGAUUUUCACUUUUUUUUCAUUUUCCCAAAAACUCAUUUCACACUUAGCUUUAUAAAAAAAAAUUUAUUUUAACCCUUAAUUUAAUUUUUCAUAUUUUUUAGCCCUUAAACCUAUGUUGUUUAUCAAUAACCUUAAACUUACAUUGUUUAUCAGAUGAAAAAAUUAAUAUCUAUUAAUUUUCCUAACGUGCAUAAAUAUGCAACUUCGUUUAAAUCUAAAAACUAUAAAAUAUCUUACAAUUAAAACUAAAAUUUUUUAAACUAAUGCAAACUUUUAUUAUUUGAUUGCUUUCUAGCGUUGCAAAUUACAUAACACUCUUCAAAUGUCUUAUUAAAUUCUCACUUUUACGAGUGCUAUGUUAAUCAAAUAAAAUUCAAUUCAAUUAAUAAGCUUAACUAGAGGAAAUAAGGACUUUACAUCCACCAAUUAAAGCUACCUAUAUGUACCCUUUUACAGUCUGCAUUGUUCCAUGUUUCCAUUCAUUACAUCAUUCCUUCAACUCUGCUAUAUAUUAUUACCGUCUCCAGGUAACCAAACCUUUUACUGCAAAAUUGUAAAAGAAAUUAUGAAAAAUUGAGACAUUGUUGAAGUUGGCUUGCAUGCAGACCAAGAAGCAGACCAAGCUGUCCGAGCCAUGCAAGUUGCAGCUGAAGCUUAUGCUGCUGUUUUGUUACUUUCAAAUAGAUAUUUUAUUACUUAGUUAGAUAUGAACUAAGUUGUUGAUAUGCUUGAUGUAAUUAGGUGCUGAUAGAUUGAUAAAUCAGCUUUACCAAGUGUACAAGCAAUGUUUAUCAAGUUAGUAAGCCACUUAGUGGAGUUAGGUAUGUGUUUAGGUAACAUUUUCUUAUUUUUGACCAGCUGAUUGCUUGGUAUAUGUAAUGCAAUUGUGCCUUCAUUCAAAUGUAAAGAAAUCUUUCAGAAAAUUCUUCUUCAUUUGGUCUUUACCUAAGCAUUUCUAUUCACGAAGCUCUUGCUGUUUUUGUUUUGUUUGUUGAGCAAGAUAACAAUGCUUUAUGCUUAAGUUUCUGUCAAAAUUUCUCAUUCUGUUUUCUUUGUUCCUACAGACAUGUUGAGCAAGAUAACAAUACAAGUUCAAAAGUUAAAAGUGAAGAAAAUUAAAUAAGUAAUUUUUUUAUAAAUUAAAAAGUUAAAUGAGUCAUUAUGGUAUAUAUAUUUAUAAUGGAUUGUAGAAGAAUCCAAUUAAUUAAUGCAUGCCAAUAUAUAUAAUAUCAAUCAUGGAAGUAAUAUAAAUAAAUGAAGUUAAGGUUGGGAUUCAAAUGAUGCAUUUGAAUGUUUGUAAGCACUAUAAGCUAAGGAUAUGCCCAUUUUUUUUUUUGUCUAAAUGCACUUAGCCACACUAUUAACAGUGAUUUUAUGAGUCAGGGGGUGUGUGGUGGUGGUGAUAAGGUCCCCCAAAAUCAAUUUUAGUAAUAAUUAUAUAUUGUAAAGAAACAGUCGCAUUAUGGGUCAAGUCCAAAUUCUUCCAUCCUAAUAAUUGCAUGCAUCCUAUGCUAAAUUACUUUUAGAUUAAAAAUAGAAAAGCAUAACCCCACUAGUCUAGGUUUUAUAUUUUAGAUGCUUACUAUCUAAGUGGAUGAGAAAUUGAUUAUGGUAUCAGUUUAGAAUAAAAGAUUAGAUUGGUUAAUUUAUGAACGGGUUGAAUCGGCCGAUCAAAUAAAUUGAAAUGAUUAUUGAAACUAAAUUGAAAUCCAUUAAAGAAGACAUAAACAACACCACCAUACAAAAUGUCACAUUCAAACAAACCAUUACAGAUAGUACGAAAUGCAAUGAAAGACAGAGGAAUUGGUACAAUAAUAAAGACAGACACAUACUAAUGCAACCCUUCACCAUAGGCAAAACGGUCUACAAACAAGAAAUUAUGAAAAUACAGCACUAAUUCUUGAACAUCAUUUGCAGUAAUUAGAUCCUUCUUCAUCUACUGCUGCGAUUGCCUUCCUUUGACUUUCUUCUUCGCCUCCUCUCAUGUUGGUUUUCAACCAAAUUCACCAACCAUUUCGGCUUUCCAGUUUGGAAAACAACAUAUCCCACGAACAUUCCGAACACUACUCCGCAUCCAUAACCUAUCAACACCACUUUCCAACCAAAAGCAAUGUUUGAUUUAGAGCCAUCUUUUUCAAGCACAUUUGGAGGUGGUGGGUUAAUGUUGUUGCAACCUUUCGAGACUGGAAACCCACACAGUCCCUUAUUUCCUUCAUAUGAAUCAUUUCCAAAUGUGUUGAAUUGUUUGCCUUGAGGAAUCUGACCAUGGAGUUGAUUUUCAGAAACAUUUAAGGAGGAAAGAAAUGGCAGAUCUGCCAAUCUAUUUGGAAUCGUCCCAGACAACCUGUUUGAACAUAGGUCCAACCAUUCAAGACUUGUCAAAUCCCCUAUUGAGGUGGGGAUAUUACCAUUAAGGUUAUUAUGAGAAAUGUUGAGCCCUUUCAGUAAGUUAAGCUUCCCAAUAACCUUUGGAAUUCCCCCUUCAAACUGAUUGUUUGAUAGAUCAAUGAUCAUCCACAUGGUGAAAAUUUUCACCAAUUCCCUAUCUUGUCCUUUCAUAACAAUUCCAAUGGAAUAGGUAUAGAAGUCACCUCCAUCAUCAUUCACCCCCAUGUACGACACUGUACUACCAAUCUUCUCUAGAUUUAUGAUAGCCUUGAAGCUGUUGAUGUAUCUCACUGGUAGGGGUCCAGAAAAAUAAUUACUUGAGAGAUCAAAAAUUUGGAUUUUUGAGAAAAAAGGGAUAGACUUGGAGCUAUUGACACAUAAGGAACCAUUCAAUUGAUUUGACUUCAAAACAAGAACUUGUAGCUGUGGAAGACUUCCCAACCAAUGAGGAAAUGUAUCAUUGAUCUUGUUGUUACCCAGAUCUAGCACUUCCAGACCAUUACAAUUAAGGACGGAUGGUGUCAAAGGCCCUUCUAACAGAUUUCCAUUUAAGUUGAAAUUACUCAAUUGGCAUCCCAUUGCAAAUGUUGGAGGAAUCGUCCCAUAGAACUUGUUCUUCUUCAGAUUCAAGAAUAGAAGGCUGUUGCUCAAAUUUCCAAAACAUUGUGGAAUUGUUCCACUCAAGUUAUUGUGGGACAAAUCAAGAAUUUCAAGAAAAGCGGCAUUGCAUAUUAAAGAAGAGACCUCUCCAUUGAAGCUAUUAUUAGAGAUCAAAAAGACAUUGAUGGUCGAAGCUGGAAUCGGAAGAUUUCCACUGAUCAAAUUGGAGCUUAAGUCAAGAACUUCAAUAUUCUUCCAUGGAAAGUGCUCAACUUCUGUCAAAGAGUUGUGAGAUACGUUUAAGUAAGUCAAAGAGUCAUUCCCCACCUCUUGCAUCCACCGUGGAAUCUUGCCUUCAAUUCUGUUGUAAGAGAGGUCCAAGCUUUUCAAACUUUUAAGCCCUUUUAAAAAUUGGGGGAAUUCACUAAGAUUGCAAGAUGACAAAAAUAAGCUUGUAAGAUUAACAGAAGAAGUAGUAUUAGAUGUUAAGGAUAGGCUGUUAUAUGAAAGGUCAAGAUAUUCGAGAUUUGGAAGGUUUGAGAACAUGCUAAACGCUAUGACACCAGUAAGAUUAUUUGAGGAUAAAUUGAGCUUGGUAAGAUUGAGAAAUUGGAAUAUUGAAGAUGGAAGAGGACCUUGGAGUUUAUUAUUCUCUAACUCUAUCAAUUCUAGUGAUUUGGAUUGGAAGUCCUUGAUAUGCCCACUGAAUUGAUUUUGAGAGAGUUUCAUAUCCUUUAAGGAGGGAGAAGUAUACAACCAUGAUGGAAGUGCUCCACUGAGUAAAUUGUUAGUUAAGUCUAAAGAUAUUAGAUUAGGAAAAGCGGUUACCUCAUCUGGAAUAGAACCUUUUAAUGCAUUUCCAGCUAUUCUCAAGUAUUCCAGCUGCGUUAGGUUUAGAAUUGACAAUGGAAUUUGUCCAUUCAAUUGGUUCUGCCACAAGCCUAAAUAAGUGAGUUGCAAGAGGUUCCCCAAUGAUCUUGGAAUUUGUCCACUCAAUUGGUUUUGCCACAAGCCUAAAUAAGUGAGUUGCAAGAGGUUCCCCAAUGAUCUUGGAAUUUGUCCACUCAACUGGUUCCCGGAUAAGUCUAAAUGAGUGAGUUGCAAGAGAUUCCCCAGUGAUUUUGGAACCGGUCCUGAUAAGUUGGAAUAGGAGAGAUCUAAAAACUUCAAGGACACAAGAUUACCCACCGAGUCUGGCAAUCCUCCAAAAAAAUUUGCGCCUGAAAUUAUCAAUUGCUCCAAACAUGAUAAAUUUGUGAUUGAGACAGACAAUCCUUGAAAGAAAGAAUUUCCUGAUUGAUCUAAGUACUUUAAGGCCUGUAGAUUAUCAACUCAAUCAAUGAAUUCUGUAGAGAAGGACGUCCAUGACAGAUCCAAAUGUUCAAGAUUGCUGCUCCGAUUCAACUUCAAAGGAUCAAGAUUGAGGUUUUGGUUGUCUCCCAAGUUGAGGAGAUUGAGGUUUGGCAAAUCAAAAAUGUUUUUUGGGAAUUUUCCUUGCAAAUCACAACCAGCAAGACUGAGAGACCUUAGAGAAGAGGAUAGAUUCAUGAAGACAUGAGCAUUAACAGAAGCCAUCUCCAUUCCAUCCAAAAACAGAUGUCUGACCUCGGUUAGGUUUUGAACAAGUCCCUCCAGAGCAUGUUUGUCUCCUACAAACCCUGUACUGGAAAGGUCGAGGUAGAGUAGGCUUGUAAACCGACCUAACUCGGAUGGAAUUUCGGAAAGAUUAAACUCAUUGUAGGCAAGGUUGAGUUUUUGAAGUUGAGGAAGAAGGAAGAGAGUGGAAUUGGAAGGGAAGUUGCCAUAUAGCCAACUGCAGCUCAAGUCAAGGGCAAUAACAUGAGCAUUUAGGUGGUCACAAGUGACCCCAUCCCAUGAGCAGCAAUCUGUACCCUCCUUCCAUGAAUUUGUCUUGGGAUAAGAUUUAAGGCCAGCAAUCCCAUUGCAAUAAGAAGAAGCAUCCUCUGUUAUGGAAAAAGAGUCCUCAAACUGGAUUAGUGAAGAGCAGGAGUGAGAUCCAGAAGAAGAAAAAGAAGCAUAAAGAUGGGGAAAGAAGAGGAAUAGGCAGAGGAAGAGAUAGGGGGCCAUGUUAUGUCUGUAGAGGAAGAUGAAGGAUAGGAAUGGUAUUUAUAGGCAACAAAUAAUACCGCAGUGUUACAGUCUUUUUUUCUUUUACAUUGAGAAGCUAUGGAUAUUAGAUUUUCAAAAUUUUUGUACUUUUCACAAUCAUCAACAACCACUUAGUCUUCUUUUUACCAUAUAUUUUUCAUUCUUAAAAUUGGAUGCUUUCUUUUCGCAAAAUCUUGUAUAUAAUUUGGUCUCCCUAAACAACUAAAAAAUUUAAGAUUAAUGAGAUUACAAAGUAGAUUAAUUUAGCGUUCUUCUCUAUAACACGUAAAGAAUGUGUGUAUGUAUUCACUUGCCUAUCAACCAAAGCUAAUUAAUGUGGAAAUUCUUUUCCACCCAAAAGAACAAAAUUGUGCUCUAUUCAUUAAGUUUGAGGAAGAAGAUUGCUGGGAAAUUUAAUCCACUGAUUCCAUAAAAAAUGUGUAUACUUAUAUAACCUCAUAAUUCAAAUCUAAAAUCUCAUUUGUUAUAAAUUCUGAUAAAUUUCUUUGGAAUUGCUAUUUUUCAUUCGCUAAUUAUUUCUCUUUUAAUCGAGUAAAAAAUUAAAACUAAAAAGACAUAAUGAUUUAUUUGUCAUUUUUUAACUUUACAAACAAAAAGUCAUUUUAACUUUUCAUUUUUUUUUAUCUCUUUUAAAUCACCCAAAAAAAAUGAUGAAAAAGACUAACACUGUUUGUUGACGUGACAAUGCCAUAUGAUCAAUAAUCACCGACAUGGUAGUGCCACGCUAUCGCCCAUUGGUGACAUAUUAACCUUUGAGUUAAACUCAAAUUACUCUUUCCUUUGUUAUAAAUUAAGAGUAUAACUAAUUUUGAUAAGAAAGAUUACUUUUCAUUAACUCAGUUUAAAGGGUUACAACAAGUAAAGUUUGGUCUAUUGCAGAAUUCACAUGCAAUGCGGGACAUUUACAUUAUGCAGAAUUCGACACAUAUAUUGGAAUUUUUGUAUUUCCACAAUCAUCAUGUUGUUCGUGAUCAACAACUACUUCUUUUUACCAUAUAUUUUUCAUUCAUAAAAUUGAUUACUUUUUUUUUUACCAAAGACGUAAAAUUAUUAACAUUCAUGAGAUUACAAAGUUAUUUAUCACUUCUAAUAUCUAAUAUUUCAUUGUAGAAUAAUUAAAUUAUUUGUUUCACUAAUGAUAUUUUAACACAUUAACUAUGUAUUGCAGUUUAAAAAUAAUAAUGUAGAUUAUAUAUUAUUUUUAUAGUAUUAUAUAAUAUGAUUUUAGUAAAUUCAUAUAAUAGUAAUUAUGUUAAGAAUUUUAUUAAAUUAUAUUUAAUAAUAAUUAUUUUCAAAUAUGGUUAAAUUAUUUAUUAUUUUUAUUAAAUUAUUUUUAAUAAUAAUCUUAUUAGAAUUUAAUAACAAUAAUCAUCUACCUAAAAAAAAUCUGCUAAAAGUAUUCUAGUCAUUUUAGUUUUUUUCCUUAUGCUGUUACAACAUCAUUCCAUUCAACCAAACACAAGAAUACUAUUACAGUUCUAUUCCGUUCCAUUCAAACAAACAAUUGAAUUACUGAUUACAACUCUAUUCUAUUACAGUGAACCAAAUGUACCCUUAAUAUGAAUGGCUGUCAAGCAAUGUAGAAAUUUGCACACAAAAGAACAAAAUUGUGCACUACUUAAAAAUUCAAAGCAUGUGUGGCCUAUAUUCAUUUGUUUUAUUGCAUAAAAUUGAAGGCACGUAUGUUGAAUAAUUUUCCCAAAAACUCAUUUCACUCUUAGCUUUAUAAUGAAAAAAAAGUUAUUUUAGCCCUUAAUUUAAUUUUUCAUCUUUUUUAGCCCUUAAACCUACAUUAUUUAUCAAAUAACCCUUAAACUUACAUUGUUUAUCAGAUGAAAAAAUUAAUAUCAAUUAACUUUGCUAAUGUGCAUACAUAUGCAACUUCAUUUAAAUCUAAAAAAUAUAAAAAUAAUUAAAUAUGUAUAAAUCUAAAGAUAUCCUAAAAUUAAAACUAAAAUUUUUUAAACUAAUGCAAAUUUUUAUUAUUUAAAAAAAUCUUAAAAAUUUUCAAAAUAAAUUCCAUUUGUUUUCAAAUAAAGAGAAAAAUUGAAAACCAUGAAAUGUUAAGUGUGCCUUUUGUUCAGCCAUUUUUUUCCCCUUUCUAGCAAAUUACAGAUCUGAAAAUAGUGAUCAAAUUGUCCUUGAUCGUCUAAUUUUGGUUAGGGGACAUGUUGGAAAAGGAUUAACCCUACAGUUAUAUUUUGUCUCCUCUCAUCAAUGGUAUUGUGAUACCCAAAGUUUGGUAUCAUGAUAUCUACAACAGUCUUGGGGAUCUUUGGGAGUUUUGGGUAUCGCGAUACCUUAUAACCAGUAUCACGAUAACACUGUUGAUGGCUCAAUUUUCCUUGUUUUUAACAUUGUUAUGGGUAUUACGACUUUCAUGCUUUGAUAUGCGAUAUCCUCUUUCUAGGUGACAUUUUCGCUCCUUCUGAGCCACCAUGGGCUCUCUGCAUCACUCACGAGCCUCAUCAGAUUCCCCGGGUGCCCUUUGGCCAUCUCAGGUCUCAAAAUAGUAUCAAAAUGCACACUAAUCAUUUAUUAAUAUAAAGAACAAAAACUAAAUAAAAAAACAACAAAGAUAUCUAAAUUCCUUGAAAAUAAGCUUUUAAGUGUGAUGGAGAGCCUAAUUUAACAUAUCAAUUUACAGCAGAUCAUAAACAUAAUUUGCGGAACAUUGUUUAAAUUUCGAACUUCUUUAUUAGUUUUCUUUCAAUAUUCUGUACGGUACAUUUGUAGUAAUAUAUUGUGCAGAUCAUAGACUACAUUGCUUUAUUAGUGUUCUAUUGUUAAUCUUUUAUUAUUAUUAUUAACACCACUUCCUUUUUACCAUAUAAUUUUUAUCCAUAAAAAUGAAGAGUUGAUUUACCAAAAAUUAGUAUUUCAUUUGAACUCCCUAAAGAAAGAAGAAGAAUUGAUGAGAUUACAAAGUAUAUUGACUUGCUCUUGCUUCCUUUAUAUGUAUGAAUGUGGAAUUUGGCAUAAUGCCAACUUAUUUUCCACGCAGAAGAAAACGGCGCUCUAUUCACUCCCUUUAACUUGACAAAAUACAGGACAUGUGAUCCACCAAUUAAUGUUUGACUAUCUCCAUCUCACUUUUUAUUAAUCAAGGAAUAUAAGCUUACUAUUUCAACAUUUCACAAGCAACAGCUAAAAUAAUAUUGGUCACAUUAUAAGACAAAAGUUAAAACAGCCUUCAGUACUUCAUCUACAUUCCACGUCAAAUCUGCAAGCAUCAAAUAUUGACCUUUGAACUCCAUAGUCCAUAAUAACAACACCAAUUUCUAACAAUUGCAGAAGAAUGUCCAGUAAUUCCACACAAAUCAACAACAAUUUGCAGCAUCCACUACAUUCAUAUGAAUUCCACACAAAUUAAGACUGCAAAUUCUAACUUGUUUAUACCCUCAAUGAAGCUACCUAAAAGAUAUGAAUUUUAUAAUAUUCUAAAGUUAAGUGACCAGAACAUAAAUUUUCUAAUAGAUUAGUACUUGAGGUGUAGUUUACCUUAUAAUAAAUAACUAAAAUAAAUUUGUGAAUCAAUUGCAUAAUUAAAUUAAGAUUUUCAAGCCUUUUACCAAACCAAACUUGAAAGGAGAAAAAGAUUCAUGAAAGAAUCCACUUUUAAAAGACUUUCACUUUUCCCAAGUCCAAUACACAAAUUCACAAGAUCCCACACUUUCAUUUAUCCUCUUCAGAAAGCAAGGUCCACAACAAGAGAUUAAUUUAGAUAUUAAUUAUUUUAUUUUAAUUAAGUGAGUUUAAAUUAAUGAUAUUUGUUAUAAUAAUUAAGUUAUACUUUCGGGAAGGUUGAUAAUAAUGUUCACACCAUAGAUGUUGUGAAGAGCCACUAAAAGUGAUAAUUUAUCUAUGCUGAAAAGGUGUUUGAAUAGAGUAUUGGACAAUGUCCUACCUAAAGACCCAAAAGGGAUGCCAAUUUAAGAUCCAAGGAAGCCUUCGACUUAUCUCACUUGUGUAAGGAGCAGCAGUUAUCUCUUUACUAUUAACAACAUAAUCAUAUUCUAUAAUUCACCUUUAAGGUGUCUUAUUCACUUGUUUAGGUCAACUAUACCAAAUUCAGCAUUUUAUUUCGCCAAACCAAAAUUGUUAUUUGCCAUAUAGGGAUCGCCAAGCCUAUAAAAGCCAAAAUCAUUUCAAAGAUUUGCCUCGUUUAGCUCGAUUCUUCAAUUUAUCUUCUCAAUCUCAAUUAUUAACGUUUGUCUCUCCAACUUGCCUCCUCAAAUUUAAUCAUUAAAACUAAAUGCAUUACGUGCUCACCAUACUACAAGAACAUAAACUUAUUUAUUUCAAGAGGAUCACUUUAUAAAUUUCCAUCAAUUAGGGAAAAAUUAUUAUACCUCUAUAAGUAUAUUUUAAAAUAUGGCGAUAUUUCAAGAUACCACCUAUCACAUUUCAAUAAAACUCAUUAUAUAUCUACCACCAUCAUAAUUAAGUAAUAGAGGCAUCAUUCUAUAUGGACACACAUCAAGCUCAUUUCCUUUUAUGUAAAGUCCUCUCCAUAACCUCUCAUAAUAAAUUUUGAAAAUAAUUAAUGUUAAUUAUUCACGUAAUUCUAAUUUUCAAUUAUUUCCUUAAAAAUUAAAAAUAACUACUCUGUUAAUGCCAUGUAGCUAUCUUGAUUAAUGAUUUCAUUUAAUUUGUUUUCCUCCUGACUGGGAAAUGUGGACUUGACAACAAAAUGAAAUUUGAGCAUGACACCUUAAUUUUGUGGUUGGUUUGACGAAUACUGAAGGUUGGUCAUCUUGAAACAUAUAUAAAAUUAAAUGAUUGAAUUAUUUGAAAUCAUGAAAUAAAAUAAUUAUGAAAUUAGAAUUUAAGAUUAGAGGUUAUUUUUAGAAAUUUAACUUUUUAAUUAAUUAAUUUAGCACAAAUUUUAUACAAGUCAUGAACUUAAUUUCAUCAAAUUAUAUUAUCCAACUUUUACUGUUAAUAAAUUAAGCGGUAAAAAAACACAUGUCUUGAUAUAAAUAUCAAAAUUGAUUAUAUUUAAGGUGGUACAAAUAAUUGCAAGAAAUUGUAAUUAUUAGGUAGUGAUUAUAACCUCUCAUAGUAAAUUUUGAAAAUAAUUAAUGUUAAUUAUUCACGUAAUUCUUCUAAUUUUCAAUUAUUUCCUUAAAAAUUAAAAAGUGUAAACUCUUAAUUAACAAAAAUAUAUAAAUUAUAAUGGUUAAGCAAAUAUGUCAUAAAUAUGUAAUUACAUCAAAAUUUAAUUACUAUUGAUUUCUAAACACCCCUAAAAUUUCAAUGAAGCUACCUAAAAGAUAUGAAUUCCACUGCAAAUUUUGUAUUGCUUGGAAUGAAUUGACUGUCAUUUUCUAUUACUUGCCACAAAAUUUUGUAUUGCUUUAAAUUCAGACAAGAAAUAGGAGAAAAAACUACAUGGAAAGAAAUUUUGCUAAUUCAAUUUCCCAAGUCUUUACACAAAGUUGGCUCUAAAUUAAAUUUAGUAAAAGAAAAGAAAACAUGUCUUAAUUUCUGUAUAUUAUAUAAAUCAGUUUUGUUACCUUGGAAUUCUGAUAAGUUCAAUUUGGAAUAUGAUUAAUUUUGGUUAAAUUGGAGUGAAUAUUACUAUUUCCAUUUUAGCAAUUAAAGCAACCUAUAUGUACCCUUUUACACUCUGCAUUGUUCCAUGUUUCAAUUCAUUAUAUCAUUCCUUCAACUCUGCUAUAUAUUAUUACUUUCUCCAUAUAACCAAACCUUUUACUGCUAACUUGUAAAAAAAUUAUGAAAAUACAACACAGAUCAUUGAACCAUUUUGUUCUCCUUUCUCCUUUACUGUGCAGUAGCAAUGAUUAUCGAGACUAAAUUGAAAGUCAUGAAAGAAGACAUAAACAACACCACCAUACAAAAUGUUACACUCAAACAAACCAUUACAGAUAGUACGAAAUGCAAUCAAAGACAGAGGAAUUGGUACAAUAAUAAAGACAGAGACAUACCGAUGCAACCCGUCACCAUAGGCAAAACGGUCUACAGAACAAGAAAUUAUGAAAAUACAACACUAAUUCUUGAACAUCAUUUGCAGUAAUUAGAUCCUUCUUCGUCUAUUGCUUCGAUUGCCUUUCUUUGACUUUCUUCUUCCCCUCGCCUCUUGUUGGUUUUCAACCAAAUUCACCAACCAUUUCGGCUUACCAGUUUGGAAAACAACAUAUCCCAUGGACAUUCCGAACACCACUCCGCAUCCAUAACCUAUCAACACCACUUUCCAACCAAAAGCAAUGUUUGAUUUUGAGCCAUCUUUUUCAAGCACAUUUGGAGGUGCUGGCUCAAUGAUGUUGCAACCUUUCGAGACCGGAAACCCACACAGUCCCUUAUUCCCUUCAUAUGAAUCAUUUCCAAAUGUGUUGAAUUGUUUGCCUUGAGGAAUCUGACCAUGGAGUUGAUUUUCAGAAACAUUUAAGGACGAAAGAAAUGGCAGAUCUGCCAGUCUAUUUGGAAUCGUCCCAGACAACCUGUUUGAAGAUAGGUCCAACCAUUCAAGACUUGUCAAAUUCCCUAUUGAGGUGGGGAUACCACCAUUAAGGUUAUUAUGAGAAAGGUUGAGCCCUUUCAGUAAGUUAAGUUUCCCAAUAACCUUUGGAAUACCCCCUUCAAACUGAUUGUUUGAUAGAUCAAGGAUCAUCCACAUGGUGAAAAUUUUCACCAAUUCCCUAUCUUGUCCUUUCAUAACAAUUCCAAUGGAAUAGGUAUAGAAGCCACUAGCUCUCUCAGCAUAUACCCCCAUGUACGACAUUGUACUCCCAAUCUUCUCUGGAUUUAUGAUAGCCUUGAAGCUGUUGAUGUAUCUCACUGGUAGGGGCCCAGAAAAACAAUUACUUGAGAGAUCAAAAAUUUGGAUUUUAGAGAAAAAAGGGCUAGACUUGGAGCUAUUGACACAUAAGGAACCAUGCAUAUGAUUUGACUUCAAUACAAGAACUUGUAGCUGUGGAAGGCUUCCCAACCAAUGAGGAAAUGUAUCAUUGAUCUUGUUGUUACCAAGAUCUAGCACUUCCAGACCUCUACAAUUAAGGAUGGAUGGUGUCAAAGGCCCUUCUAACAAAUUUCCAUUUAAGUUGAGAUUACUCAGUUGGCAUCCCUUUGCAAAUGUUGGAGGAAUCGUCCCAUAAAACUUGUUCUUCUUCAGAUUCAAGAAUUCAAGGCUGUUGCUCAAAUUUCCAAAACAUUGCGGAAUUGUUCCACUCAAGUAAUUGUGGGACAAAUCAAGAAUUUGCAGAUAAGUGGCAUUGCAUAUUAAAGAAGAGACCACUCCAUUCAAACUAUUAUUUGAGAUCAAAAAGACAUUGAUGGUCGAAGCUGGAAUCGGAAGAUUUCCACGGAUCAAAUUGGAGCUUAAGUCAAGAACUUCAAUAUACUUCCAUGGAAAGUGCUCAACUUCUGUCAAAGAGUUGUGAGAUACAUUUAAGUAAGUUAAAGAGCCAUUCCCCACCUCUUGCAUCCACUGUGGAAUCUUGCCUUCAAUUUUGUUGCAAGAGAGGUCUAACCAUUCCAAACUUUUAAGCCCUUUUAAAAAUUGGGGGAAUUCACUAAGAUUGCAAGAUGACAAAAAUAAGCUAUUAGAUGUUAAGGAUAGGCUGUUAUAUGAAAGGUCGAGAUGAUAUAGAUUUGGAAGGUUUGAGAACAUGCGAAACUCUAUGACACCACUAAGAUUAUUUGAGGAUAAAUCGAGCCAGCUAAGAUUGAGAAGUUGGAAUUUUGAAGAUGGAAGAGGACCUUGGAGUUUAUUAUUUCCUAGAUAUAAAUAUUCUAGUGAUUUGGAUUGGAAUUCUUUGAUAUGCCCACUGAAUUGAUUUUGAGAGAGAUCCAUACCCUCUAAGGAGGGAGCAGUAUACAACCAUGACGGAAGUGUUCCAUUGAGUAAAUUGUCAGAUAAGUCUAAAUGUAUUAGAUUAGGAAAAGCGGUUACCUCAUCUGGAAUGGAACCUUCUAAUGAAUUAUUAGAUAUUUCCAAGAAUUCCAGCUGCGUUAGGUUUAGAAUUGACAAUGGAAUUUGUCCACUCAGUUGGUUCUGCGAGAAGUCUAAAGAAGUGAGUUGCAGGAGGUUCCCCAAUGACAAUGGAAUUUGUCCACUCAAUUGGUUCUGCGACAAGCGUAAAUGAGUGAGUUGCAAGAGGUUUCCCAAUGAUCUUGGAAUUUGUCCACUCAAUUGGUUCCACGACAAGUCUAAACGAGUGAGUUGCAAGAGGUUCCCCAGUGAUUUUGGAAUCAGUCCUGAUAAGUUGGACUUGGAGAUACCUAAAAACUUCAAGGACACAAGAUUCCCCACCGAGUCAGGCAAUCCUCCAAAAAAAUUUGCGCCUAAAAUUAUCAAUUGCUCCAAAGAUGAUAAAUUUGUGAUUGAGACAGACAAUCCUUGAAUGAAAGAAUUUCCUGAUAGACGUAAGUACUUUAAGGCCUGUAGAUUAUCAACUGAAUCAAUGAAUUCUGUAGAGAAGGACAUCCACGACAGAUCCAAAUGUUCAAGAUUGCUGCUCCGAUUGAACUUCAAAGGAUCAAGAUUGAGGUUUUGGUUGUUUCGCAAGUUGAGGAGAUUGAGGUUUGGCAAAUCAAAAAUGUUUUUUGGGAAUUUUCCUUGCAAAUCACAACCACCAAGACUGAGAGACCUUAGAGAAGAGGAUAGAUUCAUGAAGACAUGAGCAUUAACAGAAGACAUGUUGAUUUCAUCCAAAAACAGAUGUCUGACCUCGGUUAGGUUGUGAACAAGUCCCUCCAGAGCAUAUUUGUCAAUUGUUAAUUGUUCCUCAAUCCCAGAAAGAUCAAGUGAAACCAAUUUUGACAGGUGGGAGACUUGGGAUGGGACUUCUCCUGCAAACCCUGUAUGGGAAAGGUUGAAGUAGAAUAGGCUUGUAAACUGACCGAACUCGGAUGGAAUUUUGGAAAGAUUAAAAUCAUUGUAGGCAAGGUUGAGUUUUUGAAGGUGAGGAAGAAGGAAGAGAGUGGUAUUGGAAGGGAAGUUGCCAUAUAGCCAACUGCAGCUCAAGUCAAGGGCAAUAACAUGAGCAUUUAGGUGGUCACAAGUGACCCCAUCCCAUGAGCAGCAAUCUGUACCCUCCUUCCAUGAAUCUGUCUUGGGAUAAGAUUGAUCAUCGCAAUCAAAAGAAGCAGCAUCUGUCUGAGUGAUGGAAAAAGAAUUCUUGAACUGGAUUAGCGAAGAGCAGGAGUGAGAUCCUGAAGAAGAAAAAGAAGCAUAAAGAUGGGGAAAGAAGACUAAUAGGCAGAGAAAGAGAUAGGAGGCCAUGUUAUGUUUGUAGAGGAAGAUGAAGGAUAGGAAUGGUAUUUAUAGGCAACAAAUAAUACCACAACAUUGGUGUUACAGUCUUUCUUUUCUUUUACGCUGAAAAGCUAUGGAUAUUAGAUUUUCAAAAUUUUUGUAUUUUUCACCAGCAUCAACAACCACUUAAGUCUUCUUUUUUCCAUAUAUUUUUCAUUCGUAAAACUGAAUUCUUUUCUUUUAGCAAAAUCUUGUAUUUCAUUUGAACAUGUAAAGAAUGUGUGUGUCUAUUCACUUGCCUGUCAACCAAAGCUAAUUAAUGUGGAUAUUCUUUUCCACACAAAAGAGCAAAAUUGUGCUCUAUUCAGCUACGUUUGAGGAAGAAAAUUGUUGGAAAUUUAAUCCACUGAUUCCGUAAAAACAUGUAUACUUAUAUAUAUAUAUAUAUAUAUAAUUUCAUAACUCAAACCUAAAAUCUCAUUUGUUAUAAAUUAUGAUAAAUUUAUUUGGGAAUAGUUAUUUUUCAUUCGUUAAUUAUUUCUCUUUUAAUCAAGUAUAAAAUUAAAAUUAAAAAGACGUAAUGAUUUAUUUGGUAUUUUUUAAUUUUACAAACAAAAAGUUAUUUUAACUUUUCCUUUUUUUAUCUCUUUUAGUCUUGAAAUUUAUAUGGUUUGUUAAAUCAUCCAAAAAUAAUAAUGAAAAAUACUAACAAAACUAGCACCUACGUGGCUGAUGUUGACCCUUAGUAGCUAAUGACAACACCUACGUAGUUGUUAACAGAUACUACACCAACAUUGUUUGUUGACAUGACAAUGCCACAUGACCAAUAAUUGUUGACAUGGUAGCGCCACCCCAUCGCCCAUUGAUGACAUAUUAACCUUUGAGUUAAACUCAAAUUACUAUUUCCUUUGUUAUAAAUUAAGAGUAUAACUAAUUUUGAUAAGAAUGGUUACUUUUCAUUAACUCAAUUUAAAGGACUAUAACACGUAAAGUUUGGUCUAUUGCAGAAUUCACAUGCAAUACGGAACAUUUACAUUAUGCAGAAUUCAACACAUAUAUGAGAAUUUUUGUAUUUCCACAAUCAUCAUGUUGUUAGUGAUCAACAACUACUUCUUCCUUAUAACACGUCAAGUUUGGUCCCAAAUUAUUUUUCCCACAAAAGAAUAAAGAGGAAGAAGACUACUACAGAUUUAACUAUCAAUUGUCUAUUGACUAUACUUUAACUCCACAAAAAAAGACUAAGACGAAGACUAUCAAUUGUCUAUUGACUAUACUUUUAACUCUACAAACAAAGACUAAGACUAUCACUUGUCUAUUGACUACACUUUAACUCGACAAAAAAAGACUUAAGACUAGGACUAUCCAUUGCCUAUUGACUAUACUUUUUAACUCCACAAACAAAGACUAAGACCAUCAGUUGUCUAUUGACUACACUUUAACUCGACAAAAAAAAGACCAAGACUAAGACUAUCAAUUGUCUAUUGACUUCACACUUGCUGUUGCUUCCUCCUAUCUCUCUCUCCCAAACUUAAUUUACAAGCAAUGUGGAAAUUUUGGACAUUUGCGCCACAAAUAAAAAAUACUUCCACACCAUUUGCAGUAUUGACUACGUUUACUUGAGGGAAAACAAAAACAUGAAUGCUGGGGAAAUUGCAUUAUAGAAAACAUGUGUAUCCUAUAUAUGUUGAACAAUACUAUCUAACAAACAUAUUUUCCGCAAGACUAGAAAAUUUGUAUGUCAUUUUCUAUUACUUGCAAGAAAACUACCGGGGAAAUUGCAUUUCUAAUUCAUCCAUAGGCUUUAAAUUCAAACAAGAAAAGGAAAAUAAUAUAUAUAUCAACAGGAAACUUCUAGGAGAGAGAUUUUGUUACAUCAAUUUUCCAGUUAUUUAAUCUUUACCCAAAGUUGGUUCUAGAUUAAAUUUGGAAAAAAUUAAAAAAGAGGACAUGUAUUUUUUAUUUUUGAAAAGUAAAGGAUUAUAACUCAGCCAAAUAAAAAAGUCACAAUGCAAAGCCAAGAGCCAAAGCCAAGCCAAGCACACACUCAACAAGCAGAAAAACCAACAACAUUGAAAACAAAAGCGAACCGAAUUGCAUCAUUAUAGUGUUAUCUAUACAAUCAAGUGAUGAUAUCCAUAUUAUUUUCCCACUAAUUAAUUCAGUUCAAUAAACAUAAUUUGAAUUAAUGGCCUAAAUUUUAAACUUUGAAGAAACAUAAGGCAACUGAAUGAAAAUUAAUAACCUCCAUCACCAGAUCUGCCCGCGCUUGUCUUCCUACGUGUCCUCCAAGUAAGUAAGAUAGUGAUUCUCUCCUUUAGAGAUCAUGAAGAUAAAAGAUUGAACCUAAACAUCAGGAAAAUAUGUCAGUGGACAUUACAGUCAGAAAAAACAGAUGAUGAAGUACAGCAUCCAAAAUCCAUACCAUCAUUCUUUUUCUUAGAUGUCAAUGCUUACUGCUACUGUGGUCCCAUUGAGGCAAAAUUCUGGGAAAUGUUUGAGCCUUUUACCACAUGUCCAUGCAGUGCCUGCUCACACAAUAUCGGAACUUUGUUCAGUCAAGUUCCUCAAAAGAUAGCCCUGUAAUAUGCAACAUAUAAAUCAGUGUCAGAAAAGGCCAAAGAAAGAGUAAGGAACUGAACUAGUAGAAAAUCAAGAUAACAUACCAUAUUAUCCAGUGCUUGAGCUUUCAGAGCACUAAUCUCGAUCAUUGCACAAUCAGGAAACGCAAAGCUAGCAGCAUGCCAUGUUUCAGUGACUCUGUCACUGAGUUUUAUUUAAAAAAAUGUAAAUUUCAGAAGGAAACAUGAAUUCCAAAGAUCAACGACUCCACUGAGUUUGUCGCUUCAAUAAAAAAUGGUAAGAACAACAAGACCAGUUAACAAUAAUCAAUAAUAACAUUUUCUACAACACUAAAAAUGACUCGUAGGGAUUAUAAAUUUGAGGGGGAAAUGUAUGAACAAUGGGAUCAAUUACACCUUACAAGCAUGUGAUAACUAGCAGACAUAACUCAUACAAGACCUAGAUGUAUUAUUGAACUCUUAUAUAAAAGACAACUGAAGAUGCAAAGCUUAAUUGUUAAGCUUUUCUGAUCCUUGAUAAGCAUAGUUUUAGUUCAGUUCCGAAAUCUAAACUGCUUUGCUAUGGGAUUAUUUUUAUAAGUACAUUGAGAUCCAUGCAUGCUAUUGCGAUUUAUUAUCUUUGAUUCCAUGGAAAUGACGGAAUUCAAACACCAAAAGGUUCAAUUACAUACUAGAUCAUGGAUGUAAGCCAAUCUACAACCUCCUCCCUCCUCGACCUCCAUUUGAAACCAGCAUGAUUUGAAUUCUCAGCCGCAUAUACCCUCACAAACUCCUCAGCAACAACAUAAAACAUAUACCUAACACUCCUUUGAGAACCGAUAACUGCACAGACAGAUUCACUGGUGGAAUCCUUCAAGAAAUAUUGAACCACACAAUUACCACACUCCUGUGAAAUAAACUCCUCCUGCCACUCGAAACAAUGACCAUUUCCAGACAUUUUGAUAGACAAUACACAAUUUGCUUCACUACUUACUCACAUAGCUAAAAGAUGUCCAAUGAAACUGGCAAAGGGUUCUUCCGAAAUGGUACAUUAGCUGCCAAAAAGACAACCACCAUACAUUCAUUCAUUCAGUAAACAGCUUCAAUAUGGCAAUAAGCUAUUAUCUUAAAAAUGCUUUUCUACCACAGAAGAAUAAGAACUAGGCAUCUCAGAAAAUUUGCUAAAUUAAUGACUUUGCUCCCUUCAAAAUAAACAAAUGAUUAACUGCAUUAACCCCAAAGAGGUCACCAUCAACCUCCAGUUGAACUUUCAAGGAAUAAUAAUAAACAAUAGAAGGAAAUAAGGCGGGAAAAAACUAACCAGAACUCAGUAAAAGCUAAGCCUUGAAGAUCUGCAGGUAGUAAGAGAAAAACCCCAUGACGACUAAAGUCCAAGCUUGAAAGGACCAAAAGGGAGCAACAUACGGCUAUGACUCACUGGACCAAGAGAAUCACCAAUGAAUAAAGGAAAAUGGGUACUUUCCUUUAUACCUAAGCAUACAAUAUUUAGCCUCAAAACAAGAUCCUCUUUGGGAAAAAUUCAGGUUUUCACAAAGGGUUUAAGAAAGAGGGUGAAAGUUAAAGAACUUGUCUUUGUUUUGAUGUGUGGUACACGAGAUAGUGAAGGAAAAUAGAGGCGAGGAAAUAAGAUGGAGUAAGUGGUGAAAAAGGAGAGCCUAAAAGAGACAUUUUUGAAGGGUAGUUUAGAAGCUGCAGAGGCUUUGGCAUACAGCAGCUGAUAAUGAGAGAAGACAAACCAGAAACGUAAGUACGACGACGACAAAAAUAAAGUUAAAAAAAUUUUAAGAAUUGAUAAAAUAACAUUUUGUAGCUUAGCGAAUUGGGACGAAGUCCACCAGUCUGAUGCCCAUAGAUCCACACCUGGGAUUUUCUAUUUAGGCUAACCUUCUAACUUCUCCCACCAGUCUUGAAACUUUGCAGAUUUUUUCAAUUUGAUCUGAAUUGUAUGAUAACAUAUCACUUUGAGAUUGGAAAAAAUAAAUAAUUUUUUUUUAAAUUAAAGAAAAAAUAAAGAAACUAAAUUUCAAGCAUGAAAAGUACAAAAGAAAGAACUGUAUUUAUAAAAGAUGAGUUACUUCACCCAGAUUGGAGUACCCUUAAACAAAUUUAUUCUUGUAGAGAAAGAAACUGAAUUUUGAUUUCAUUUGCUGUGGCAAAAUUUUUAAUUUUUAAUUGUGAAAGAAACAGUAUAACAUAUUGAAAGCCUGCCUACGUCUCGGCAGAAAAUUUUACAAAUUCUUUCAUCAGACAAUUUAAAUGAUGCAAUGCAAAGAUUCAUCAAUGUAUGAUCUUUUUACCAUAAAAUGGCUGUUUUACUGGAAAACUUGAUAUGUAUUGUCUUUCACAUUCUUCUGUGCUGAAUGGUCUCCGAAAACUGCAAUCAUCAACUCUAGAUAACCCUUUCCUCAGCGCUGCCAGAGCCGACCUUGUUGUUUCUGUUCUUGAACUCGCCUGUGUCAUCAAAGGCAGUGAGCAUUUAUCAAUGUUAUAAAAAUGGCAUAUCGAAGUCAGAUUUUACUUGACAAUACACAAAUAUAAGAAGAUAAUUCACCUUUGAUACUCUUUAGAAUGCUCGAGAAACUCUUUCGCGAUGUCUUUUCUUUCAUAUGAUUGCAAUACUUGUCUGAUAUCAGCCGGACUAUUGCGCGCUACAUCUGUGAACAAAUCAAAACAAAUGGUACUAUAAUUAACAAAUGAAUAUAGGAAACAUAAAAUUUGAACAAAGGCGAUGUGCAGAGGAAAAAGCAACAACAUAAGACCUACAUUCAAGAAAUGGAAUAAGGUCUAAAAGUGCGGUAUCAUCAGUCUCGAGCUUAAAUGGCUUAAUAGGGACACAAUUUUCUGGUUUUAGGCUAGAAUCAAAUGCAUGAGCACUCACAUAUAAAAUCUUGGUUGGAUCCCUGUUUAGCUUUGAAAGAUCCUGCCAACAGGAACUAUUUGUUAACAAUAAGGCUUCUUUUUAAGUAGCAGCUUGUAAAGGCACUGCCUCAUAGAUUAAUACACGUAGUAUUGUAGAAACUAAGGAGGCGAAAACCAAAAGCAAAAUGUUUUGGAGGGAAGAGAUUGACUAUGACAUGGUAAAAGAAUCAUCGAGGCACCUGUGUUAGGAGUUAGAUUGCAUUUUGCCCCAUUUACUCAGAAACUGAAUAAAUUAGUCCCUGUAUGUUAGAUAAAAGAAAGAGUAAACUAGACUUUCUGUUAAAAACUUCAUCCAUUGCUACUAUUAAAAACUGGUGCAGUUGAUAAAAUAACCAAAUAGUUACACAUAAUGUGUCACGUGUACCUCAUGCUAAUGUACAGGGACCAAUUUUUAACAGUAAAAAUGGAUGGAACUUGUAACAGAAGGGCUAGCUUGCUUUUUCAUCUAAUGUACAAGGAUUAAUUUGCCCAUUUUUUUAGUAGAGGGGGUUAAAUGCAAUAUGACUCCUAGUACAAGGGCCUCCAUGGUACUUUUACCACUAUAACAUACUCCAUAAUGCUUGCCAUUCGGAUAUUUAGUAGCACCCCUUGAUAGCCUAGAUCGUAUACAAUGGUCAGUGUCCAACAUUUCACAAACAGAAUCAACAUACUGCAUAGCCAAGAAAAAACUAAUUAUGAACUUGCAGGCAACAUCAGUUAUGAUAUACUUGUGUAUCUAAAAUGGUAGCCACAAUGACAAUAUCAAAUUACCAUAUUCAUCUGGUCAGAAUAGACGACAAUUUCAUAGAACUUUGCUAGAUGUUCCAGAAAGGCAUCAACACCAGGUCUUUUGAAGGUACGCCAGCCUCUCUCUCGCUUUGUCAACCAAAAACGGAACGUGUUAGAUAUCGUAAAGGUGAAAUGGAAAAUAAUUUUAAGUCAAAUUCUUACCUUCCAGUCUGUAUAAAGUAAUGUCUCGUUCAGAUCUAGGACAAGAGUGAAAACAUGCUGUUCUAGAGGAUGCAAAUCAGGAAGAUGCUUAUCCGAAGUCGGUUCAUUAUAUUCCUGAAAGUACGAGAUAAAAUUAUGAGAACAAAACAAAAGAUAGGCCGACAAUAAUAGAAAACCGGAAACAAGAGAAAGAAGAACACUCCUCACCAGCAAAUGUUCUUCCACUAACCUCCUGAGAUCCAGAUAAGAUUCAAGUGCUUUAGCCGGAACUGAAAUGUUACAAGCAAAGAAACCAGGAAUAAAUUGGGUUCGAACCAGAGCAUGUAAACAAAUCAAUCAUUGACCAACAUGAUAGACAGCAACCAGCACCAACGGAAUUUUCUUUUCUGUCUCAACAAAUCCAUUUAUAAUAAAGCAGCCCAAAUUUUCAAAAGGAAUAUUUUGGUAAAAGUACCAUGGAGGCCACUAAGAGAUGAAUUGCAUUUUGACCCCUCUACUCAAAAAAUUGGCAAAUUAGUGCCUAUGUUAGAUCAAAAAGUAAAUUGGCCCUUUUAUUAAAAACUCUUCAGUUAUUCUGUCAACCAUGCUAGUUUUUAACAGUAGAAAAGAACGAAAUUUUUAACAGAAAGGACCAUUUUGCUCUUUGAUCUAAUGUACAAUGACUAAUUUGCCCAUUUUCUUAGUAGAGGAGGCAAAAUGCAAUCUGACACCUAAUACAGGGGCCUCCAUGGUAUUUUUACCUGAAUAUGUCCGGGUACUAGACAGUGCAAACUGAAUGCCCUGUUAUGCAAAUAUUGUGCUCGUAAUUAGGUUGACAUACAGAACAAAGACUUUAGAGAUAAUUGUAACCAUGAACAAACAAAGAAGCAAUAAGAGAGAGGAACACAAUAACGUCCUCACCUGUCAUUGCAGCGGAGUAAAGCAAGCCUCCAUAUUUCUGAAAAAGAUAUGGAAAAAAAAAAAACUGUUACUUUCAUAUCUAAUUUCUUCAUAGUAUUAGGAUAAACUAAACAAUGGGUAUAUCACAUUAUUAAGACUUAGCUAAGGUACCGCAGAUAUACAUUCAAAUGAUCAAUCAUAAAGGAUGAACUAGGAGGCCCAAUGAUCAAUCAAAAUUACACCUAAACCAGUUAGCUGUCUAAAGCCAAUUGCACAUUAUAUCAAUCAAACAACUAAAAUAAAUAGAGAAAAUCCUUUAAAAUAUUCAAUUUCUAAACAAAAUCAAACUCACAUCAAUAGCAGAUCUUGACAAAGAAACCCAAAAUCACAAAUGAUCCGAUCUUUUUAAAAGGGGAAAAAGAAAACUUACUAUAAGAGAGAUAACCAGCAUAGCCAGUAGUUCCAGUAACACCAGCAAUGAGUCCGUACUUGACAAAGCUCCAAAUUUUCCCUCCCAAAACCUGUGGGGCAACUUUUGGCGCCGGAGGAGGAGGUGUCGACUGAUCGGAGAGAAUGGAUUGUGAAGAAAAUAUUGUUCCUUUAGAAGGAUCCGAACAAGACAUAAUGAUUUAUUUGGCUUUUUUUAACUUUACAAACAAAAAUUCAUUUUAACUUUAGUUUUUUUUUUUAAUCUCUUUUACCCUUGAAACUUAUAUGGUUCGUUAAAUCACCCAUUGAUGACAUAUUAACCUUUGAGUUAAACUCAAUUUGCUCUUUCCUUUGUUAUAAAUUAAGAGUAUAACUAAUUUUGAUAAGAAUGGUUACUUUUCAUUAACUCAGAUUAAAGGACUAUAACGCGUAAAGUUUGGUCUAUUGCAGAAUUCACAUGCAAUGCGAGACAUUUACAUAUACAGAAUUCAACACAUAUAUGGGAAUUUUUGUAUUUCCACAAUCAUCAUCAACAACUACUUCCUCUUUACCAUAUAUUUUUCAUUCAUAAAAUUGAUUACUUUUUUUACCAAAGAAGUAAAAUAAUUAACAUUCAUGAGAUUACAAAGUCUUCUACCUUAUAACACGUCAAGUUUGGCCCCAAAUAAUUUUCCACACAAAAGAAUAAAGAGGAAGAAGAAUGCUACAAAUUUAACUCCACAAAAGGACUAAGGGCCAGUUCUUCAUUAUUUUUGAAAAGUACUUUUGAAAAGUGUUGUGGAAAAGUACUUUUGAGAAGUACUUUUAAAAAAUGUGAGUGUUUGGUAUUGCUGUCAAAAAGUGCUUUUGAAAAAUAAAAUGUUCAUUUUAGACAUGAUAUUAUAAAGUAACAAAUAUGUAUUUAAAUAAUGUUCAAAUUAGUUAAUAUUAUGAUAUUUUAGCAAAAAUAUAAAAAUAAUUUAUUAUAACUUAUUGUUAAUAUUUUAAUAUAUAAUAUUAAUUUUAAAUAUUUCUAAGUAAUUAAUAUUAAUUAUUUAUUAAAUUUAAUUAGAAUAUAUAAACUAUAUUUAAAUAUUUAAAUAUAAUAAUUAAAUAUUUGUAAUUAGAUAUUGACACAAUUGUAUUAUUAUAAAAAUUAUUUUUUAUUUUUAAUUAAUGUUUUUAACACAUUUGUAUUAUUUUAUUUUAAAAUGUAUUUGAAUAUAUAACUCAUAUUAGAUAUUAACAUAACAUAGAAAACAUAAACCUUACAAAUUAAAAUAUUACAUAUAUUUGGAUUAAAGUUUUAAAAAGGGAUAAUAUUUAUAUACCAAAUAUAAACACUAAAAAUUUUACAAUAGCAUUUACAAUUUAAAGUGAAUAUUCAUUAAAUUUUACAAUAGCAUUUACAAUAGCAUCUCUUGUUAAUUCUAUUUCAAAACCACUUGAAUUGUUUGAUUCACCGUCAUCAUCGUCGUCAUCAUCAUCACUUUCUCGACCAUGCGCAUUUUCUGAAUCAAUAAUAUUCUCAUAUGCCCAGUUAAUAUCUUCGUAUUCCAUAAAAUCUGCAUCAUUUCGACCGAAAUAUUUUGCGGAUAAAAUUGUGUAUCGUCAUUGUAGCAACAACGAUCAUGGUUUGCUUUUCAAAACUAUAACUUGGCAUAUCCCUUAAAAUGACCCUUUUUUUUCAAAACACCAAAAGUUCGUUCAAUCACACUACAUAAUGAUGAAUGUGAAUGAUUGAAUAUCUCUUUUAUACCAGAUAUCGGUCUACCUCUACGAAAGUUAGAUAAAUGAUAUCGCUGUUAUUUUAGUACGGCACUCUUUAAUAUGUACCAUUUGCAAUACAUUUAAGUAAAAAUAUUAUUAUAUAGAAAGUCCUAAGGCAGUCAUUAAGAAAACCCAUGUAGUUACUUCAAACAUGUGGUAUUAUUGAUUAUCAAAGUAAUGGCAUUAAAGGCAUGACUUCCCCACUCCACCGGUCCAGCUGCAACUGCAUUAAUGGAGGAAAAAAGACACAUACCUAGCUACAAAAUUAUGGCUUGUUUCCAAACCUUACCAAACCAUGAACUCGACAUGAUACUUCAAACAAUAGAAUCACCAAACUAAAAGAGAAAAAAAGAAUUUCAAAAACUAGAAUAAAUUGCUUGGAUGUUUAAGUUCACCUGGGAAUAUAUAUAUAGAAAGGCAAAAGCUGAAGUAAAAAGCCAGUGUAACCUCCAGAGAGAAGCUUAAAAGAAUGGAAAUGCUAGCAUUUACCAAUCAGAAUUAAUAUAUAGUAAAGUAAUUAAGUUGAAAAAAAGAACUUUGCAAAUGAAGAAGAGACAGAAAACAACACACAUAAAAAAUGGACAAAGACUGAUGAUGUUUUGAAACCAUGCAUCCAGAAAAUAGAAUAAGAAGAGAACAAAUCCAUCAACCACCUCUCUGAAAACUAUCCAUUUGCCAGCAGAGGAACAAAAAACCGGCACCAGCAGAGGAACAAAGAACCAGCGAUGAGAGCAAAGAACCAGCGUUGUGUGUGUGGCUAAAAAAAGUAAAAGACCAGCCCAAAAGCACUAAAGCUAAAAAAUUCUGCUUAAGACUAUCAAUUGUCUAUUGACUACACUUUAAGUCGACAAAAAAAGACUAAGACUAUUAAUUGUCCAUUGACUUCACACUUGCUGUUGCUUCCUCCUAUCUCUCUCACCCAAACUUAAUUUACAAGCGAUGUGGAAAUUUUGGACAUUUGCGCCACAACGUACAAUACUUCCACACCAUUUGCAGUAUUGACUACGUUUACUUGAAGGAAAACAAAGACAUGAAUGCUGGAAAUUUUAACUAGUUUGUUCCGUCAAUGAAGCUACGUACCUAAAAGCCAUUUAGGAUACCAAUUCCUGUAAUUGGAUUAAUCUCAUCGUUGCUGCAAUCUUUUGACAGUGUAAUCGAAUCAUAAAUAGGUUACUCUGCAAUGCUAUUGUAAAUAUGACUCUUAAAUUUGUCGAUAGAUAUAUAGGUUCGGCACAAAAUUAAGAAUACACAAAGGCAGGAUGAAUUAUUCCAUGUUUGAACAUCUGCAACAUAAAUGCAUAUGGCAAAAGGGCUCAAACCAUACCUUAUGUUCAUGAAUUCUCAUCAUCACGUGUUUAUCAAUGCAACUCAAAACUUCAAUAAUUGAAUCUUUUGUAAUUCUACAUGUAUUUUUUUAUGGUGAGCAGUAUAAUGUUUACUAAAAAUUGAAAUUCAAGAAAGAAGACAUACAUAGUUGCACCAUACAAGAUGUUACACUCGAACUAAACCCUUACAAAUAGUACAAAAUGCAAUGAAAUACAGAGGAAUUGGUACAAUCAUAAAGACAGACACAUACCAAUGCAACUUUUCGCCAUAGGAAAAACUUUCUGACAGACUACUAAACAAGAAAUUAUGAAGACACAGCAGAAAGGCUUUAACUUCAUUUGCACCAACUAGAUCCUUCUUCAUCCAUUGAUGCGAUUGCUAUAUUUUGGCUUUCUUCUUCGCCUCUUCUCAUGUUGGUCUUCAACCAAAUUCACGAACCUUUUCGCCUUACCGGUUUGGAAAACAACACAUCCCAUGGCCAUUCCAAACACUACUUUCCAACCAAAAGCAAUUUUUCCUAUUUUAUUUGCAGCGCUGCAUUUUGGUGGUCCAGGAAUAUUUCCUAUUUUAGUCCCCCAUGUUAUUCGCAAUUUGUAAUUUGGUCCUUUCCUUUUAUUAUUUUAGAUUUUUCCCCUGAAUUACUGUUUUAAUGCCAAUUUAGUUCUUUGUUUGUUAUUAUUGCUAUAGAAUUAUUUAGUUUAUUAUUAUUAUUGGUAUUACUAUUAUUAGUUUAUAUAUUUACUUAUUUUUAUGUAUGUACAUUAUUUCAUUUUAUUAUAUACUCUUAUUUUAAUUCUUUUUCUUAUCUAAUGCAUUAGUAUAUAUUUUUAUGUUAAUUCAAUAUUAUCUAUACAUUUUUAAUGAGUUUAUUUUUAUAAUACAUUUUUCUUAAAAUGUUUAUUUAUAUAUACUUUUGUGCUUUAAAUUUUAUAUAACACUAUUAUAUAUAUAUAUAUAUAUAUAAUUUGUAUUAAGUUUUUUUAUUAUUAUUAUACAUAUAUAUACCAAAUAUAUCAUCGAUUUCAUAUUUACGUAUUUUUUUUUACUUAUUUCAUAUAUAAUCUAUUUCAUUUAAAACUUUACUUUAUUAUAUACUUGAUUUAUAUCAACCUUUUAUAUAUAUUAUUAUACAUAUAUUAAUAUUAUUAUAAGAAAUUUUCCAACCCAUAUGUAAUAUUUAUUUAAAUUAAUAUGUAUAUAUUAUUUCAUGUAUUUCAAUUUUCUUCAUAUACAAUAUUCACUUUAAAAUUCAUUUUAAUAUUAUUUUUCUCAUAGUAUUUAUUUUUUAUCUUCAUUUUUGGCUUAUUUCAAACUCAUAUAUGUAUAUUGUUUAUUUUAAAAUUUUACACAUAUAACUCAUUUUUUGUAUUGAUAAUUUUAAAUUUCCUUUUGUGUAUGUUUUUAUUAUUUAUUCUAAAACUUUUUACAUUUUAUUUGAGUAAUUUUAAAUAUUAAUGUUGAUAUUUACGUGUGAUGUAAGAUUAUUGCCCUCAUGUGUAUUGUAUUGCUUAUUUGUAUUAAUUGAUUAUUUGUAUUCAUUAGUAUACAUUUUGGCUUACGAAUUAUCAUUGAUCUUCCUUAUAAUACGUAAAGAACGUGAGUGUCAUGUGUGACCUAUAUUCAUUUAUUUUAUUGCAUAAAAUUCAAGGCAUGUAUGUUGAAUAAUUUUAUCCAAGAAGCAUAUUUUCUACAAAACUUUAAUCGGUUGUCAUUAAAUAUGUCAUUUUCUAUUAACUGCAAGAAAACUAUUCCCUAAACUGCAUCUUCUUCUUUAGAUGAAAUUUUGUAAAAAAAAAAUGACAUUAUCAUUUAUAUGGUCCUUCAAUUUUAUUUAAAAAAAUGUCAUUUUAACUCUCCAUUUAAUUUUUCGCCUCUUUGAGCUUUUAAAUUUGCGUUAUUUAUCAAAUAAUCCCAAAUAGAUGAAAAAGUUAACAUUUGUUAACUGUAUUGACGAGACAUACGUAUCGAUAUCAUAUAAAUAAUUAAUUGAUUUUAAAAAUUUUAAAAACAAAACAUAUAUUGAGGAAAUUUGGAAGCAUUGCAGAAGAAUGUCCAAUAAUUCCACACAAAUUAACAACAAUAUAAACUCAACAUUUUAGUUAUUGUCUAUUGUCCAAUUCACUUUUUUUUCAUUUUCCCAAAACUUAUUUCACUCUUAGCUUUAUUUUUAAAAAAAAGUUAUUUUAGCCCUUAAUUUAAUUUUUUAUCUUUUUUAGCCCUUAAAUCUACAUUGUUUAUCAAAUAACCCUUAAACUUAUAUUGUUUAUCAGGUGAAAAAAUUAAUAUCUAUUAACUUUGCUAACUUGCAUACAUAUGCAACUUCAUUUAAAUCUAAAAAAAUAUAAAAAUAAUUAAAUAUGUAUAAAUCUAAAAAUAUCUUAAAAUUAAAACUAAAUUUUUUUAAACUAAUGCAAAUUUUUAUUAUUUAAAAAAUCUUAAAAUUUUUAAAUUAAAUUCCUUUUGUUUUCCACUGUUGAAGAACUCCUUCAAUCACAUCAACAACUUCCUGCUGUUUUGCAAAUUUAUCUUGUUUUAUUUAUUUCUAAACCCAUAUUUCUUUUCUAUAACUCCAAUUAUUAGAUUGUUUAGGGUUUUGAGUAAUUUUCGAUUUUGGAAUUUUAGAUUUUUUAAAUUUAAAUACGAAGUGCUCUUCUUCUCCAAACCCAUAAUUUUUUCUGUCAAAUUUCAACUCAAGGUUUUACUUUCAACUAUAAAUAAAACAUAUAUUAUAUUUAUAAUGAUCUAAGAGUAGUAGAGUCAAUGCCGAUCUACAUGAAAAGGAGGGAAAAAAACAUAUAUUAUAUUUAUAAUGAUCUAAGAAUAGUAGAAUUAAAGUGAAUGGGUUUUUAAUAUUUUUUUGUGAAAGUUCAAAGACUGAUUAUUUAUGAGUUUGGAUGUGUAAAUAUUAGUUGGAAAAUUUUUUUCUUGCGCCAGUUGAUUUUUUCUAUAAAAUUUGUAUUUAUUUUAAAGAUUUUUAAAUUUUGUUACAAUUAUUUUUAUGAAAAUUUGGAAAUAUAAAAAUACUUUUUGAACUAUAAUUCAAGGAUCAAAUUAGGUAUUAAUCAUUUUACAGAUCAUAGACUAAAUUGCUUUAUUAUUAUUAUUAUUAUUAUUAUUAUUAUUAUUAUUAUUAUUAACACCACUUCCUUUUUAUUAAUUAAGGAAUUUUAAUCAAACAAGGAUAUGAAUCAGAAUUAAUAUAAACUUACCAUUUCAACAUUUCAUAAGCAAAAGCUAAAAUAAUAUUUGUCACAUCCCAUAUGUUCAUAUAUAACCUAUAAGACAAAAGUUAAAACAGCCUUCAGUUCAUCUACAUUCCACGUCAAAUCUGCAAGCAUAAAUUGACAUAAAUUGAGACAUUUUAUUCUCCUUUCUCCUUUACUGAGCAGUAGCAAAGAUUAUCGAGACUAAAUUGAAAUCCAUGAAAGAAGACAUAAACAGCACCACCAUACAAAAUGUUACACUCAAACAAACCAUUACAGAUUGUACGAAAUGCAAUGAAAGACACAGGAAUUGGUACAAUAAUAAAGACAGACACAUACCAAUGCAACCCUUCACCAUAGGCAAAACGGUCUACAGAACAAUAAAUUAUGAAAAUACAACACUCAUUCUUGAACAUCAUUUGCAGUAAUUAGAUCCUUCUUUGUCUAGUGCUUCGAUUGCCUUUCUUUGACUUUCUUCUUCGCCUCUUCUCCUGCUGGUUUUCAACCAAAUUCACCAACCAUUUCGGCUUACCAGUUUGGAAAACAACAUAUCCCACGGACAUUCCAAACACCACUCCGCAUCCAUAACCUAUCAACACCACUUUCCAACCAAAAGCAAUGUUCGAUUUUGAGCCAUCUUUUUCAAGCACAUUUGGAGGUGCUGGCUCAAUGAUGUUGCAACCUUUCGAAACCGGAAACCCACAUAGUCCCUUAUUCCCUUCAUAUGAAUCAUUUCCAAAUGUGUUGAAUUGUUUUCCUUGAGGAAUCUGACCAUGGAGUUGAUUUUCAGAAACAUUGAAGGACGAAAGAAAUGGCAGAUCUGCCAAUCUAUUUGGAAUCGUCCCAGACAACCUGUUUGAAGAUAGGUCCAACCAUUCAAGACUUGUCAAAUUCCCUAUUGAGGUUGGGAUACAACCAUUAAGGUUAUUAUGAGAAAGGUUGAGCCCUUUCAGUAAGUUGAGCUUCCCAAAAACCUCUGGAAUACCCCCUUCAAACUGAUUGUUUGAUAGAUCAAUGAUCAUCCACAUGGUGAAAAUUUUCACCAAUUCCGUCUCUUGUCCUCUCAUAACAAUUCCAAUGGAAUAGGUAUAGAAGCCACUUGUAUGAUCUUCCACACCCAUGUAUGGCCUUGCACUAGCAUUUUUCUUGAGAUUUAUGAUAGCAUUGAAGCUGUUGAUGUAUCUCACUGGUAGGGGUCCAGAAAAAUAAUUGCUUGAGAGGUCAAAAAUUUGGAUUUUAGAGAAAAAAGGGCUAGACUUGGAGCUAUUGACACGCAAGGAACCAUGCAUAUGAUUUGACUUCAAUACAAGAACUUGUAGCUGUGGAAGACUUCCCAACCAAUGAGGAAAUGUAUCAUUGAUCUU